rnacentral:lncRNA from 1 species
GUGUGCUCCGCCACUGCUAUUCAGAGCUGUCAGCAGAGCCCCAUUGAAGCCCGCAGCCCCAUGGAAGUCCAAUCGAAUCGUCUCUUUUCCAUCCCUGACUGGGUGGUUCUGGAUCAUCAAAUCUUCCCCAAGGACCUCGACUCCUUUCGCAACAACGCGGUGACAUCUGCAGAAGUAUGCGCUAGCAAUAGCGAACUGGUUCGCGUCUCCUUCAUUCUUAGUGCGCUGCCGGGUACAUCCCGUCUAUGCGUGCACCUCAAGGAGGGGCACGAGCUGUCCUGCUUGGACACUGUGGUGGCGGCCCACGGCAAGGCCGUCCUCUUCCGACUGAAGGUCGACUUUGAGGGGCUGACGGGCAAGGCGAUUGACUACUUCAUCUACUGGGCCUACACCUCUGGCCCCAAGCUCUCACUGGUCCCGCGCUACUACUCGACAGUAAAGGAGAUUGCAGCAGCAGAGGAGGGAUCCUGGAGGAGAAGGCUACGGUAUCGUAUGGCAAACUAUAGAGGUAUUGGCCUCUUGCUCACUGGCGAUUCAGAAGAAUUCGUGGUGGCUGAGCUCCGUCUUAAUCUUUCCAAGCUUGAAGACGAUGUAGAUGCACCUCUGGAAGGUGAGCUAUUCAGGCUCCGCUCGGAUGGGGCAGGCGCUGCUGGCGAGUGGGAGGUUAAGAACACGAGCGUCCGUGAUGGCAAGCCUACAUUUCGUGACAUUCAUGGUUGGUGGGAAGCUCACAAGGUUGUUCCUUACGCCAGGUACCUGUGCUGGGUGGACUACUACAGGGGUGUGAUCUUUUGCGAUGUGAACAAUGAUAACCCUGAGCUUCAGUACCUCGCGUUGCCUGUGGGUUAUGUUUUGCCUGGCUACCCUGUUCCCUUCCGCAGCGUAUUGCCACAGGUAUUCCGGGCUGUGUGCAUCACCAAGGAUGAAACAAUGAAGUUCAUCAAUGUUGUCCAUGAUGACAGUUUCCCAAUGGUAUCUGCUGGUUCUAGUUUCACCAUUGUUAUCUCGACAUUGGUGCAUGACUAUGAUGAAAUGAGGUGGCAGGAGGAUCUCAAGAUAGAGUCGCAUGAGCUCUGGGAGAUGGAAGGUUACGAUGAUCAGCUUCCACGCAUUGCGCCGCUGUUCCCACUGAUGAGUGUGGACAACCCCAACAUCAUCUACUUCGUGUUGAGGGAGAGGAAAACUCUUGAUGCUGGUGCAAAGACUUGCGUGGUUACCCUGGACAUGGUUAACAAGAAGGUGUUGUCAUAUAAAGAUAUCAAAGCCAUCCCUGAAGAGGAUCCCGUGAUGGCCUCUUACAAUAUCUUCUUAAAUGUGCCUUUCUUUCCUAGUGAAUUCUCCAAGCACUUGCAAAAGGCUGCUCCAAUGUAAGUUUGUGCUUCCUGUUUGCACAUUCUCAUUAAGUAGUUACUCCCUCCAUCCCAAAUUAUAAGUCAUUCCAAGAAUCUUGGAGAGUCAAAGUAUCUCAAGUUUGACUGAAUUUAUAUGAUAAUAUAAUAACAUUUAUGAUGUCAACUAAGUAUCAUUAGAUUCUUCAUCAAUUAUAUUUUCAUAGUAUACCUAUUUGAUGUCAUAAAUCUUUAUAAUUUUCUCUAUAAUUUUGGUCAAACUUGAGAUACUUUGACUCUCCAAGAUUCUUGGAAUUACUUAUAAUUUGGAAUGGAGGGAGUAUUUGUUAUGUUUUCCAUUCUUUUUACAUGCAUAUAAUUCGUGUUCUGUGUACCCUUGUUGAUAUGUUUAUCUACUUCUCUAGUUCUUGGAUAAGGUAAUGAAUCAUGAUGAAAUAAAUAGGAUUAUCCAUUUUGAAGUACAACAAAGUAACAAUGCUAAUGCACUUUCGCGGCCUGUUUAUAUACGGAGGUUGGGAUCCAAAUCCGUAGGUUCAGUACAAAAUUGAACUAAAUCUCAAAAUUUCCUAGAGCCAUCUUCCCUAUCCAUGCAGGUCUGCAAUGUUUCAUCUAUUCACCUCUUCCUUUUCCCUUUCAGUCCAUCCAUUUAGUUUACUCCCACUCUCUGAAACAACUACUGUGCUGAUUGUUGUUCAGCCAUUGAGUGUUUUUUUGUUUGUCUGUUCAGGUGUUGUUCUUUGGUUUUAACACAUUCCUGUGUCCAUCUAUUUUCUAAACCUGUUUUCUGGACGGUUCUUAGCAGUCACGUUAAAAGAAUAUGCAUGUAGGAGCUAUUACUCCACUGUUAUUUAUGAUGCUUCUUUUUGUAUUUGUUAACUUAAGUUUCUUGCUGUGUCAUGAAUUAUAUAAAUAUUUUGUAUGGUAAAAUCCUUAUUACUCCUGCUACAACAGUCUCCCAAAAGCCUCCAUAUAUGCUUUUAUCAAUAAACUCAUGUUCCAGUUUUACAUUAAGUUGGGGAAAUGCAAAAUGUAUCUUCCACAUUCUAUACAAUGUUAUCAAUCUAGUUAGUAUAUUAUUUAAAUUAUGCUAGAGAAGACAUGGAUCUAUUGUAAAUUGACUUUGUAAAGAACAUAUUUAGCAGAUACAUUUUUUUAUAGAUUACUUUUAUAUUGGUCAUCGAACUAAAUUUAGAAGUUCCAUAUCUAUGUCCAUAUUCUAAUUAAUCUGAUCGAGUAGCUUUAUUGAAGACUUAUUGAAAUAAGUUUACCGUGAAUUGUGCUAAGUUCUAUUGAUUUGGCUGGCCUGAAUUUUACCCAAAAACAUACUUAAAGGGCAUGAAGUUUAAAUUAUGAUCACACCAUCUUCAUUAUCGUUCUUGAUCAUUAGGGUUGAAUAUAAGAUCUGUCCUGCCAUGUUGAAUUUCUGAUUCAGUUAUUUCAUAUUUUGAUGCCCCUCUGAUGUUCAAAUCCUCAAACGUGUAUGAUGUUUGCCUAAAUGAUUGGAUCAUUGCUAGGAGUUAAAGACCAUGAGGACAAGACUGAAUUGAAGUACGAAGUUUGUCCAUUCUAUAUGUGUGGCGCUCCCUGGCAAAUAAAUUAUUUCACAAUGAUGCGUCGUCACUAUGUUACUAUGAGAUCAAAAUGUCACAUGUUGUUAAUGUCACUUCUGAAACAAAUAUAUCUUCAAAUUGAUAGGAGUAGAAAUCAGUUGCUGUUAUUAGGGAGAAAUCAGUUGUUGCAGAAAUGUUUUGGCCUUACAAGGUCUACCAUGUAUUUUGCUUUUUGUCAUCACGUUUUCCUUUAUUAAAAUGUUCUAGGAAAAAAUUGCAAAAUAUAUUGCAUUCCGGUACAUGAUAAGUAGAGUUUAGGAUGUCAUAUUUGUGUUACUCUACUCUCUUUUGACAUGUGCAGUUUUACGUUUCUUAAUAAAACACACAACUUUUCUAGAAAAUUCCAAACUUUCGUGUAUAUUACAUAAUAAUGUGCUACAGCUGAACAUGGAAUGUACUGUUUUCUCCAUCUCAGGUAAGGAGUAACAAUUUGGUUCAGUUCUAGUAGCUUGAAAAGGUCCCCCUUUUGAAGUAGUUAGGGCCCUUUGCAGUUGCAAUUGCAGUGGUGUGCAAUUGAAUUAGUUAAAGCUUUUUGAAAUUCUUGUCAGAUUUUGUUGUUCCAACAUCAAUUUUUUUCACUCAGCUAUCUGAUGCAACCAAAGAUAGAAACAUGUUUUUUUUAAAAAGAAAAACAACACACUGGUGAAUGGAUAUUUAGUAUUAUGCCUCUUCUAGGUUGUUUGGAUCUUUCGUUCUAAAUUAUAUGUUAUUGAUUAGGGUUAAAUGGUUUUCUUAAGAGAGCGUACUUACAUGUUUGUGUGUUUUUACCGUAAAGUUUCGAAAGGCCAGGACAGAAGGUGCUGGGUGGACAGCCUCUGCUUGCCCACCACCUAGAUACAGUUAACACUGGCGUUAACCGCAUCUGUCUGGAAAGCAUUUCUGAGGAUAUCCCCUUACAAGCAGAUUUGUUCUUCCCUCUGAGUUUAAUUUGAUCUGUUGUUCUUGAUGCUCAGUUUUUUUGUUCCCACACGUAUGUUGAAAUGCAGAACAGACCUUUAUUUUUGUGUUAGGUUAAGAUCCGUCCUGCUUAUUCUUUACUGAUACUUGCAAUAAGGUUAAUUGCUCCUGGUCAUUAUUAGUUCACUUCAGAUAUUUUCAACGAAGCUCACUCCAAAUACUUUCUUAUUUGUGUAGGAAGAAGAAAGAGAGCCAGGAAGUAAUUGGCUGUUGAUGGGCUGUCUGCUAGCACUGCGUCUGAUAUCAAACGGCAGCGGUUCACUUUCUUAUACUGUCAGUUGAUCCACUUGCUUGCUUUUGUGGGUUGCCAUCUGUCCGAGUGACUUAAAGUUUAGCUCAAGACCGUCAAUCUUACCAUCUGGUUUAGACGUUUGUACUGAUGUUUUUAUAGUCGAAACUCGAAAGGAUGUUUCUGCUGGCAUAUUUGUGUUGCCUCUGUGUAUACGAGGCACGACAUUUGCCGUACCUACUUAUGUUGUGUAUCAUGCACUUUAGCACUUAUCUAUAUAUAAAUUAUAGACGGUAGUAAUAGAUGGUGCUGAAAAAUGUCGAGAAACCUAAUAUACACGGAGAAAACAAAAACAUGAUUAUUUUUGGAAAGUAGAAAUCACAGCGCUGAUCAUAAUAAUCAAUACUCUCCGCUUGAAAAAUAAAAUAUUUUAAUUUUAUCUUAAGCUAUUUUUUCUAACUUAAAUAUAAUUUAUGUAAAAUAUAUUAACACCUAUAAUACCAAAUUAAUACAUUAUCAAUAUACAUAUUAUGAUCGAUUUAAUUGAUUUAAUGCUGUAUAUGUUGGUAUAUUCUCUUUACAAACUUAGUCAAAAUCAGAGGAAGUUGACUUAACAAAACUAAAAAAUUGAAUUUUGAAAUGGAUAGAAUAUAAUUACGUCGGUGUUGCAAACAGAGGAAACACUUAUUAUAGCACAUCAUACUACAUCAUCGUGUUAAAGAAAAAGAGAGUCUACCUAACGUCCAACAUAUCGAAGGUUGGCGUAUCUCAAUUAUAAAAUUGGAUAUUUGGUAAUUUCUAAAAUUUGGGAAAUUAUUGAAAUGACCCUGUUAGGUGAUUUUGCCACGCUGGUGGACCGAUUGACACGUGAUCCCUACCUUCUAGAUGAGCCGGUAGUAACUUUGUAUGGGAUCAAAAACUUAAGAAUUUGAUGGAGAAAUAGUAUAUAAAUUUUGUCUUCGAGGCCACAGUACAUGUAGUCAUAGUCGGCGCAGCGAUGCAUCUCAUCUGCCUGAUGACGACGGUCCUCGCGUUCAAUGUUGUGGUUGAGUCCAGGAGCGUUGUAGUCACAGUCGAUAACGACGGUCCUCUCAUAGUGGCAGUUGUUGAGAUUGGGACGGAUGUCACACUGCUGGCGAAGGUCGCGCAGCUCUUCACGAAGAUCAUGUUGCUGUUCUAGUCAGCCACGAUCGCCAUCAUCGCCUCUCGCGCAGCGACGGCGAUUGUCAUUGUUGUUGUGGUGACGGCGUUGUUGGCGUUGUCGUUGGUAGGAGGGUUGACGUUGUUGUUGACUGGUGGGUGGGCUGGUGGGUUGGCAUUCUGGUCCACCACUUCUUCACAAAUUGGCUCCAGCCGACCUCCCGCGCGGUCACCUCGUCGAUGGUCGGAUUUGCUAUGCCUGGAUCAGCUCUGAGAAUGCCUAGAGGUUGCGGAUCGAGAGUGGGCUUGUCGAUUGAUCUGAGUCUCGAUCUAGGCGUUGGUGACCUGAAGUCGAGCCGGGAUCCUUCGAAUUUGGUCGGAUUCUGGGAGAUUUUCUAGGUCAGCAAUGACAACACCCAGAAUGGCCUGAGGUGUGGUGAAGACGUUGUGGUCGGCCUGCUCGAGGUCGGCUAAUAGGUUGCGGGCAUGUACGGGGCGCCUGCCACUGUACCGAGCACCACCUUGGUCGGCAUCGUCAUAGUCAUUGUGCGGCUGUUGGCGCUGGUCACCCGUUGCAUCUGCGUUAGCAACAGUUUGCUGGUGAGCAUUGGCUUGCUCCUGUUGGCGCCGAGCUGCGCGAUCCCAACUCCUAGCGUUACGACCUUCAUCUUGAGAUUUUGUUUCGCCAUCACGGGGUGGCUCAUCAGCGGAGAGCAUGUAAGCUUCGCGAUCUGGCGUGGAGGAGUUGCUCUCAUCGUCACUUCCAUACGGAUUUCGCGAUAGGACGAUGCGAGGCACCUGGAAUUCACCACAGUUCAGAAACUGGGCAGGUUCGGGUGGGUUUCUAGAUUGGAUCUGGAAGACUUGGUCAAUCUUAGCAGAAUACUCGGCGACCGAGUUUCGUCGACCAAAAGGGACGCGGGACGGACCCUACCGCCGACCUUGUUGAGUGUAGCGCCACCUCAGAUAACUCUAUGCACUCGGCAAUAGUGCUGCUGAUCGAUCUAGCCCCGCGAUUAGGUCGGAGGGCAUGGGUGGGCGGGUGCUAACGAGUAGAUCUGGAUCCUUCUCGGAAAGAGAAAGUUCACCGACUUGCUAGGCAAGCGGCAUGACGAUCCUUGGGUGAAGAAUUUGUUCUGUCAGAACGGAUCUGAUGGAAGCCGAGCUGGUUGCGGACGCCGAGUCGGCGGGAGACGCCGAGUCGACAGAAGAAGCGGUUGGAUCGAAAUCCGCCCGCAUGGUCCCAAAUUGAAUCUGGACUGGGUUGGCGAGGAAGUCCUUCAUGCUCUCAAGGAAAACGACGCCGGGAGAGAAUGCUAUCGAGGUCACCGAACGGAUAUCGCAACCACCCCUACCUGGUGCACCAACUGUCAGAUUUCUAAGCCCAGUAGUCCAUCAGGGCGUUACCUAAGUGGUUGAUUUGUAGGUGAGGGUGAUUGUGAAACCAAGAACUCGAAGGUGAUCACGAGAACAGACAGGGGACACGAGGGUUUUUGACAGGUUCAGGCCUCUGGAGAGUAAUACCCUACGUCCUAUAUGUGUGGAUUGUAUUGCUUCAUACGAGAUGAGUUGUCCCUAUGGGGUGCCCUUGGUCGCCUUAUAUAGGCUGAUGACCAAGAAUUACAAGUCGGUUUGAAUCUAAUCUACUCGAUAUUGCAUGGAAAACAAUCUGAGUCGGACUACAAAACGCGUCCCUCAAUGUCCGGGUAGAUUUGGGCUAUCUAGUUGCCUUGUCAUGUACUCCAAGUAACUUCAUAUCCUCAGCCCGCACGCCCUAGUCUGAUGGGCCCACUUGCCAGGGCUAGCCAGUAUCCUAGUCGGUGGGGACGCAUAGGGUACCCAUAUCCCUCAUGGGUACCCUAUGGGUCCCCACCGACCAGGAAACUGGUCGGCACUAACAAGUGGGUCCGCCCGACCAGAACGUUUAGGCCAAGGACGUGAAGAUACUUGGAGCGCAAGUCAAGGAGGCCGUGCGAUUCAAAUCAGCCUGGAUAUUGUGGGAUACUUGUUGUAAUCCGACUCGGGUUACUUUCCAUGUAACAGCCGACUAGAAAAGAUUCAAACCGAUUUGUAACCCUAGGUCGUCAACCUAUAUAAAGGCGGCUAAGGGAGCCUCCCAUGGGCAUCCGAUCUAUUUUUCGCACCCGCACAAAGCAAUACAAAAUAGCAAAACACAUGAUGUAGGGUAUUACUCUCCGGAGGCUCAAACCUGUCUAAACCUUUGUGUUUUCAUGAUUACCUUCAAGUUAUUGAUCUUGCAAUCCUCCCUAACUACAAAUCUAUCACGUGGGUAAUCCCUUGGUGGACUAUUGGGAUACUAAAUCUGACAGACAGGUUCAGGUAGCUCGGAAGAGUAACACCUUACGUCCUAUAUGUUGUGUACAAGAGCCGGCCUUUUAUAGGCGAGAUCCAUGGGAGACUGAUAGGGGCGAGCCUUGGACCCUAAUCCAUCCCUUUACACUGAGUGUGUGAACGCAGCGGCCCAAUGGCUGCCCUCCUUGCUACAGUUCCUCUGACAUGUCAUCCACUUGCCCUGACGCUUCCUUACCUUGGUACACACGGUGCCGGAGCACCCCGCCUAAGUCCUUUGUAUGUCAAUCUCACAUUUUACCAUCUUACUUUGGUAAUCCUUUAUUUUGUCAUCCCGAGCCCGCCGUCCUGGGACGGGGAGCACUGAACCUGACUUCCAAGGACCUUCCCGGGAGCCCUUUGCCGUUUACCGGGUCUCUAGUGCAGGGUCCACCCUUCUGACAGAGUCCUCGGGAGGCCUUUUGCAACCUCUUGAGUCCUCGAUGUGGGCCUGCCUCCUUGGUAGAGGGUGGCCGAGAGCGUGGCAGGGCGCUCUUGACACGAGGGUGGUGCCAGCCACCUGUGGGACGGGACAUGUGAUGCCUUCGGUCCCCGAGAAUCUCAAAUGCGUCCCAUCAACCAUGAUGAUGAUGUUUUUACGGGGACGAGGCACCUGCUGAGGGUCUGCCUUGGCUGCCACACCUUUCCCAUGUCAGGAUACGCCACCGCUUGCUUCACCUCGAAGGGAGCCUCAUCGGGGGCCUCCUGGGCCUCCCCGAGUGCGUCCUGCUUGUGGCGGAACCGCUCGGAUUAACUUGGUUAAAGCACACUUAAGUUGCCUAACACGUGAUGAUAUGCUUUAAUCAAGUUAACUCAGAAAUUCGUCGGAUUUCAUCUGGUAAACCACUAUACAGGACCGAGUUAGCAUAGCUCACACGAAGGUGAGUGGUUCCAGAGAAUACAACAUGUCAUCCAAAGUUAAACCAGUUCAACAAUUUAUUACAACACUAGUUCGAAAAUCAGAGUUUUACAAAGUUAUUGAGCAGCGGAAAAAGAUAAAAUAGAACAGCGGAAGCUAGCGCCGGGGUCGGAUGUCCCUGAUGAGGUCGAUUAGGACAUCAAUGGUCCCUCUCCUCGCCAUCCGAGGAGGGAUCCCACUUGACCGUCCACCCAGGAGGAAGCUGGGGAGGCCAAGUGCCAACAGCAACACACUCAGAAGCUUCAACAUCACCUGAAAGAGAUGCCAUAAGCAAGGCUGAGCUGCUAAGCUCAACAAGACUUAACCGACUGGUGGGAAAACUACUCCAUCAACUUCUAGACAUGCAAGGCUCUUUGGCUGAGGGGUUUGUUUUGCCAAAAGCGACUACGUUAGGUCCUUACAUUCAAUAUUUUAGCUCCGAUUCUAAGUUCAUUAACCAGUCUAUAUCUGCAACUUAUGCUAAACAAACAUAGUUUCCAAACAAUAUGUAUAGAACAAGCAUCAAGGUUCAUAUCAUCAUCAUGUUCCAUCUUUACUCAGUGUAGCAUAGCGAUCAAGAAGUCUCAAACUGUGAGAGGCAGACGAAUCGAUUCGAAUUUCUUAACCAUGCAUGGUGAACCUAAUCUCACGACAUCCGUGCACCACAGAGGGUCGCUUCCUGUGUUGGCCAUCCCCAUCAAUCCCCUGACCUGUGUUGGGCCCACUUCUCUUGGUGCAAUGUUCCACAGACCCGACCUCUGCCGUUCUGUGACCACACUUGCCACCACAUGCGGCCGCAAGGGAAAACUCCGUUCCAAAGACAGUGAAUCGAACUGCUCACGUCCAGGUUCAAUCAGGUACUAGGCUUCUCCAUCCCAUACUAGGUAUGAGAUUAGUACUUUCAAACACUUGAUCACGAACACUAUCACAUCUCGACCUUAGUCCAGUUUCAAGUAGACAGACGGGGCAAUCCACCGACCACCAAAAGAGUUCACAAGCCCCGACCCUGUCCACCGUCCUUAUAGUUGUAACCAGAAGGAAAACAAGCAACUCCUAUAACUCGCGAGUGACAGGGAAUCACUCGACUUUUACCGAGUCCUGUUAAGCACUACCACUACUCGGACUUAUAAUGCUAGUGUUCAGAUUAAGGGAACUAAGUCAUGCAUCUAAGGCUUCAAACAACUCCUAUAACGUAAAUGCACAUACAUACAACAGAAGGCAUGCGCAAGUUUAGAAAAGUUGGGUUAUGCUCUGGGGCUUGCCUUCGAUUGGGGCGGAGGCAAACUGGUCUUCUGGGUGCUCUGCUUCAGCUCCUGCGGUCGGUAGCUCAGCUACAGCUCCAUCUUCAAUCACCGGGUGUAGCUCGUAUGUGCCGUUGGCGAGAUUUAGUUGUACACGGAAAUGCAAAUGCAGGGGUUAAACACUUAGACGGUUAUUUCAACAACACUUGCAAGAUUUAGCUCAGAAACUUGUAGCCAAACUAUAGGAAAGGUGUGAAAUCCCAUGCCUUUGUUGAUAGAGAACCUGAUAAGGAGUCAGAUCUGGAAAAACUUGUGAUCUGACCCUCAGACCUAAGGAUUAACUGCACCGGGGUCCUCAGACUUAACACAGAGAAGUCCCUAAAAUUUUACACAGAUACCUUUGGUCAAAGGAAAAGGAUAUAACCGAGCCCUUGGGUGAGGCGGACAAGGGUCGGCGAGACAGACAGGGUCGGGCGAGACGGAAAAAGGGGUCGCAGCUUACCUUUGGGCCUACUGACGAAGUCUUGGGGUCGGGAAGGAACAAGCUCUGGCGGAAAGACUAAGGCGCUUAGGCUGGGGUGGUGGUGAGGUCCGGCGGUGCUCCGGCGGUGGCGGUGCUUCUUGUGGAAACAAGCGGGCGCUAGCUUAGCACGUAGGAAGCCAGCGGCUGGUGGGUUUGGAAAGGCGGGUGUUGCGCGGAGAGGGGAGUUCCUCAAAGAGCUUAUGCGAUAGCGCUUGAGCAUGAAACAGAGGAAAGUGCGUCAAGGAAAUGAUGGUGAAGGGAACUUCGGUAGAGGCUCUGGUACCUUUUUUAUAGCUGCACGGACAAGGAAGAGUUCGAGCAGCGCGAGGAUAAGAUCGAAGAGGAUGGAGUGCUCUGCCGUGGUGGCGAUUGGGCGAUGCCAUGCCAGCGAAGCGAAGCUUCGGGGACAGGGUCUUCGAUCAUUGGGCAUUGGAGACAGCGCUAUGCAGGCGCAGGUUUGCCGAAAGGAAGGAUUGGUGAGGGCGGGCGCGAGUCUGGUCACGUCAAGCGACGGAUUGGGUGCGGUGGCUCGGCUAGCGUGCGGCAGGAAGGAAGGAAGGGCACUGCAGGCGAGGUGACAGGGCGAGCGGCGACGCUAGCAAGCGCAGAACCAGCGGCUUUGCCGUGGCACGCUACUGGCGAGGCACAGGAAAGGAGUUGUCACUGCCAGUGCAGUGGUUGGCGGAGGCAGUAUCGUCGCGGGGCGCGCGCGUGGGCAGCGCGACUGAGGUGCGACGGAAAAGCCGGAAGGCGUUAAGGCGCGCGAUCGGGGAUCCUGGUGAGGAGAUGUGCAUGGGAGGCGAGGCAGACUGGUGCGGCAGCGGCCAAUCCUUGGUCGCAGCGGCGACAGGGCGCCUGGCGCAGCCGGCGAGAUUGCGGGUGAGACGAGACGAGGUGGAAAAGGGCUGUAGGGCGCUUCUGCGCGCAAUUGGGAAGAGGGCACGCUGAUCCAUCGUGUCGCGGCCGGCGACUGGCGAGGCGGGGCUCGUCGGGGUGGUUAAGCCACACGGUGGAGAGACUCUAAGACAGGGCGCACGCUCGCUCUCUGGCGCGCUUGACCCGAGAGAUCCGUGGGAUUUGUCUUCUGGGUCCAUCUUCCAGUCUCUUGUUCUCCAGAAAACUGAACUGCACCACUUCUGCUACCUUAACAAAAGUUGUAGAACUCAGGCCAAGGUCCAACUCUUGUGAUUGGACCGAGUCCAAAAACGCAGUGGAUUUGGGGAUCCAAAGCUCCAAAGUUCAGAAGAACACUGGUUUCGGGACUUAGAGAUAAACUGCGGUUUGCUGGGUUUCUGGGGUUAGGGCUGGUUAAAAUUGUAGAUUUGGGAACUUUUGGAGACAAAAAGGAUUACGGUCUAUCUAAGAAAGUUGUAGUUGAGACUUCGUUCUCCAACUUCCAUAAAGGAAAUUUCUUAGCGUCCUGCUCAACUUUCCAAAGAUAAACCCUCUCUAAGGCUCUAGGUUGGGUUGAAAACCUUAUUUUAGCUGAUAUAGCUCAAGAAGAAAGAGUCAACCAGAUUAGGGCUCAUCUUAAGGUUAAGCUCGGCCGAUUUAAAUCUAGGUCGUUACACUGCUAUUGCCAUGUGGACCGCUUGUGGGUUCCAUUGGGCCGGCACGAUAUUUUCCUGAUCCUUCCUAGGCCUGAGGUUCCCUGACCUAUCUCCUUAUUUAGGCUUCUCAAGGAGGGAAGCCCCAUUUAAGCAGGUGGGCUCCGCUUGUAAGUGACUUCUCAGGGGAUCUGUUCCCUUGGGAUUAACAGGUUGAAAACAAUAAAUGUUGGUGUUCGCGUAAGAAAGUGAACCACGGGCUGUCUGGUACCUAUGGGAGGACACUUCAUCGUACAAACAAUUAUAAUGGCGGGUUAUCUGACCCAAAAGAACCACAUAAAAUUUUGGUUGCACCACUGCAGAGCUUCGAGUUGAUCUCGCGUGUGUAGAAAAAUGACUUAACAGUCGACUUUGCUACAUGUUUACUUGCUAGCCUCCUUUGGAACGGAGGAUUUCCAAAGGAAAAACUCAGGAAUCGGCAAUCAAUAGGAAUGGGUACCGUAGAGUCCUUUGGUUCAUAGGAUUGACGCACAGGAAAAGUGUAGGAAAUUUUUCUUUGCUACCCAUUUUGGAGAAAUUCCAUAGGAAUGGAAACAUCUAGUCCAACUACAUUUUUUUCCCGAUCUUGCGUAGGACAAAGGCACGGUUCAUCGUGAGCCCACACUGAUGAAGAUUAGAACAUAGAACAGGAGCAACAGAAGCUUGAGAACGAGUGGAUUAAAUUGUUCGGACUUUCGAAAGGGUUAAGGUCAAAGCUCUGCUAACCCACCUGUAUGUGCCAUUUUUUCUUUAACAAAUUAAUAAAUAAAUCAAUUUUGAUUUUUUUCUUUAUGUCUAAAUAUGAUGUAUUGUUUCUCACUAGAAAAUAACGCAUUGUGACGCUAUUAGAACAAAUACCAUGGAGGAUUAAAUGCUUCCUAAGAUUCCUAUUCAUAUGAAUUUCCUAUAGCCAUCCAAACACUACCUUUUACAGUAUUUCUCUGUUUUCCAAUCCUCCGUUUUACAAUUGUACAGAAUUCCUAUUCCUAUAUUUUCACAAUCCUAUCUAUACUAUAAAGAACGAGCAAAUUGAAAACAAUUCACACCUAAAAUUACACCCCAGUACCCCUCACAGAGGACCCAUAUGCCAUGUCAGGAGGGAGACGAAAAGGUGUGACGAAGGGUGGGAGGAUAAAAAAACUAGAUGACAAAAAAUGAUUCUGCCAAAAACCUCUGUUUUUCCUCACCUUUCUUUUCUCCUUACCCGCCUGCUCGUACCCUCCCGCGCGCCAAUCACGUUCCUGAUUUUUUAACCGAGGUCUCCUUCCUUUUCCAUGCUCUGUCGUUCCGCAACUCCAUGAUUUUCUCCAUAGUUUCCUUCCUUUUACAUGCUCUUGAGAGAUUGGUAGCCUUCCUAUUGAGAGCCUUCCUUUUGAGAGCCUUUAAUUUAAUUUCCUUCCUAAUUUUUCUUCAUGGUCUCCUUCCUUUUCCAUGCUAUGCUGUCCUGCGACUCCAUGAUUUUCUCCGCAGUUUCCUUCCUUUUACAUGCUCUUGAUUGAUUGGUAGCCUUCUGUUGGUGCUGAAAAUCGACCAAUGACCCUCAGCGUCGGACACAUGACCCGGGAGAAUCUGCUUAACUCCUGUUCGGGUUAUUGCCCUGGUGCGGUUCGCGCGGCAUGCCAGUCAAUCUGACAUGUUGAUUGAAAAGGAAAGAAAAAUAUUAAAUUCUAGGGGUUUCGAUCGGCUAAAGUUCCGAUCUGUCUUGAAAAGUGUAUCAGCGAAUCGACCGAUUUACUGUAGAGAGGAUCGGCUAUAAAACAGCCAAUAUCCACGUAGCGAUUGCAAAGAAAUUACUAGAGUAAGCUAAAAUAACACUACAAAUGCAACACUUGUGACAGAUCUAAUUGGCUAUAUGGAGAUAAACAAGAAUAACAGUGACGAAGCUGACAGUUCGAAUCUCGAGCUGGAUAACUGGGGAUAAAACUAGAACAAUAGAUAAAACCUAUAAUUCUAGUAAAUAUCGAUAACUGGUGAAUAAAUCUAAACGAAACGACAGCGAUGCGCCCGAAGUUAAAGCUUAGAUAUUACUCGAUAAGCGGAACUUACAAAUCGACCGGAGAUCGUGUCGAUGCAGUCCUACCAACCCGUACGAACUCGUGAAAAGAAAAGGUUUUUGGCGAAGUCGCUGACUUAAAUGUAAAGUGCAAGGAAUAAGUAGAUUUGUUGUAUUGAUUGAUGUAUAUUUUACAAACCUCAAGGAGGUGGCUAUUUAUAGCCUGUUACAACUGAUUUCCUAACCGACUAGGAUCUAUCUCUAAUUUAAAAUAACAAUAAAUAUUCACAAACACAACUCGUAUCGGAGUUGGUUAUCAUAUCCCACGGGCCAACCUUCUUCACUAGCUUAAUCUUUUCUCUGGCCCACUUUAGGCCCAUACCGGCCAAGCCACUCCAACUUCCAAUCAGCCGACCUUCAUCAACUCUGUUCGCCAAUCGGCCGAAAAUACUGUAGUGCCAAUCGGCCGAUUCCCAACUGUAGCUCUUAACCUGCUAUGUCGGCCAAUCUUUUCCUCCCUUGAUGCCGAUUCAAAACACGUGUCAAAAUAUGGCGUCAACACAUGCCCCCUAGUUUUGGAGUAAAACAUAACUUUUACUUUGAAAUUCUUUUUAACUUUCUCUCCGAGACAAGCGCGGCAAAAACUCCUUUUGGUUUUUGCAGUCUUCUACCUGAUGAUUGCAAUCUUUUUAAACUGGGCGCCUGAGACAACUGCUCCUCCGAAAUCCGUGUAGACGGUGCGGUAAAAAACCCGCCUUUACCCCUUCUCUCGAACCGUCUUUAAAUACCAGCAUUCUCCGCUACUUCUUCUCCACGAGCUCAAUAACUCUCCUUUCCCCGGUGAAUCAUCUUCCAUUACAUCCCAGCGCCCCUUUGCCUCCCAGUCGCAUCUCUCUGGCGAUCUUUCUCUCAUCUUCAUCCCGCUUCAUUUUCUUCAAUGGCGGCUCCAUCGGCGGCCAUGAGCUUUAUCCCAGAGGUAAACAUCUGAAGCCUUCCCCUUUAAUUUUUACUGCUCAUGCAUCUUUUAGAUCUAUUCUUAGUUCUCCCUUUUUAUCUUCUCUAGGCGGUCAGACAGCAAAUGACCAUUCGCUUUUCUGAUGCACCCGGCCUCAUCGGCCUAGGCCCCAUGGGAAAUCUAGACCCCACUGAUCUGAUCAAUCUAGAAACCCAUAGGAUUCCCUUUAAGUAGUCGCCCAUGGAUUUGAACCAGUGGAUAGGUGCAUUUAGGUCUUGGCCGAACAAAACUAUCAACUGGAAAGAAUGGUUUCAAAGAAUGUCCAACUCCAAAAGAGUUCUCUGGGACGAACUGAAAAUCGGCCAAUGCAUAAAUCUGUCCUUGUCCUAGAUGGAGAAGAAUGAACCUCUAGUGAUGGCUAUUGGAGGUAUGCCCUAGAGGCAAUCAUAGAGAUGAUGAUAUUCCAUUUGUAUCCAUGAUUUAUAUUGUGUUCCUUGAAUAUCCAUUAAAGGCUACUUGAAUUGAUUUGCAAUUAUGUGAAUUGUGUGUGAAACUCUUUACUUGUAUGGUUAUUCUAAAGUUGUCCCUAGUCGGAGUUCAUGUGAGGACACACAUGAAUAUUAGACUAGCACAUGUAUUAGUUGAUGACUAUGUUUCACAAGUCAUGGACAUGGAGAUGUUGAACUAAUAAUGUGGGCACAUGUGGAGACAUGUGCUAGGACUGACCCAACACGAGAAGUAGUUCUCUCUUUAAACAACAUAUACGCUUUGUCCUUAGACCUGAGAUUGUCGCAUGUAUUCAAGAUGUGGAUCGACCUACUUACGGACUAUCAAACGCUAUGCCAUAACAGGGUAGUUAUAAAGGUAGCUUUCGGGUUUGUCAAGAAGCAUGCUAUGAGACAUGGUCAAUCAAGAUGGGAUUUGCCCCUCUCUGAUUGAGAGUGAUAUCUCUGGGCCCCUCGAGUGAUCGGAUCCAAAAAUGUAUGGCCAUGCUACAUACGGUUAAGAGUUAACCUACAAAGGGAUUCCGAAUCACAGGAUCGAGAAAGAGCGGUCGGCUUGAAGCUAAACCAAAUAUCGUGAGGCAAAGGGAAUAGCAUGUAUAUAAUGUUGUGAUGGUUCGUCUGAUAUGAUCUUCGUGUGCAUAUAGGAGUUGGCACCUCUUGCUAGAGGCCGCUACCGACUAUUGGGCCGAGUAGGAGUACUCGGGCCAUGUCUAUACGCAUCCGAACCCAUAGGGUCACACACUUAAGGGGCUGGAAGCCCAAUUCGGAUGUGAUCCGAGUUGGAUUAGGUUUAGAAGUACUAAUGGGCCUCGGACCCAGAGGCCCGUUAGGAACCUCUAUAAAUAGAGGGGUGGGGGCGCCCUAGGGUUUACACCUUUUGGCGAAACACAUCUGCCGCGCCUCCCAUGCCCUCGCCUAUUGCAACUCACGGAUCUAGCAGUCCGGCUUGCGAUGCUUCCUCCCUGCACGUGUGGAUACCUUAGAGGUGUUGCGUCUGCAGCACUUGGACGAGCCGCCGAUGAGCCAUGACAAGCUGCCGACGAGCCACGACGAGCCGACGACGAGCCGCGGCACGAGGGCGAUCUUGCUGCACGUGGACGAGCUGCUGAGGAGCUGUUGGACGUCGACGUGAUCGACUACGUACGACUACGUUGAUCGACUUCGCUACAUCGACGCGAAUCUACAUCUUCCGCACCAGUAGUGCGUCGAGUGGUAAUCCCGUGAUCCUUAUACAAUAGUUUUCCUGGUUUACACGGUAGAAAAUUUUGAUUUGCGCUAGUGUAGCCUACCUCGUAUCCCAACAAUGGCAGCUUCUUAUUUUUGGUUAGACGCGCUUAAUGCGUUUCUUUUUGGACACGGACCCAUGACCCCAACCUUGGCCGACAUCGUGAUGUUGACCGACCUCGACAUCUCCUCCGAUUCCCCUUUUGAUUUUCUGAUCAAACCGACCCAUCGGCUGGAGACAAAUGGAAUUGGCGGGUGGAAAGGAUAUAUCAAUAAAAACAUGAAGACUGGGCCGAUCAGCGACAUAGAAUAUACGACCUUCUUAAUGAUGUGGUUAGAGAAGCAUUUCUUUUGCGGCAAAGAAGUCAGCCCUUCUUCUAAUACACAAGCUUUGGCCGAAGCCCUGGCAAGAGGAUCCACUUUGUCCCUCUAGGAAAACACUUGCUAGGAUCAGCGUACCACAUGAUGCAUCAGAUCGCCGUCAAACUGUCAACUGGAGAGCCGAUUGGUAAUCCUGGUGGCCCCUGGUGGUUCAUUACCCUUUGGCUCAACUUAUACAUGAGUAAGGUUUCUCGGAAGGAAAUAGAGACCAAAACAUUCCCCAAUAUCGAGUCAGAGGAAAACCCAACAAUACGACGAUGCUGCACCUCUUUUGGCGAAGCAGCAUCCGCUUUUCCUAGCAGCUAGUUUACUCCCACCAAGACAGCCGAGUAUUUCAGAUGCUUCCACGAUGGCUUUAGUGAAUAAACCACGAGUUGGUACCUAUACCAAAGGGCUGAGCCACUUUUUGAGCAUCCCUUCUACUUCGACUCAACGACCAACUCUUUUGAUAAUGAGCUCACAGAUGCCUUGAUCAAACCAGGGGUCUUACCAGCGAACUUCUUUUUCGGGAAGGAUUCUCCAACUUAUGAGUUUUAUAAUCCAUCGGUUGCAGCACGACAGUUUAGCCUUGGUCAAUUGCCGAUUCGGAUUUACUUUGCCGGCCGCGCAAAGUUUCGGGACGAGCUCACCAAAGGUCUUGAUUAAAAUCGACUAUGUGGAUUGAUCCCAGACUCCAGUAGCAUUGAUUUAAACAACUGAAGCUGAAGAUAACUUCUUAAAAGAAGACGAGCCGCUGGGUGCGCCCCCGUAUAGAAUUGGCCGAUCAAUCGGCGGUGGCAUCGGCUGAACCUUUAGCUGCACCGACUCCGCCGGCUAUCGAAGAAGUCGACCCCCAGGCCGCUACAGAAGCUGGAGCAGCAGCUGCGUCAUUGCUGCUAGAAGCUGUUCAGGUAACUUCAUACACCUUGCAUUUUUUCUAAGUAUUAUGUCAAUAUUAACUUCUUCUUUCUGUUAGGCUGUGCAAAUCAUCCCAGAGCAAUCUCCGCAGCAAUCGGCCACACUCCAGGCAGAGACCAAGGCACCAGCAAUUCCUCCCACUGAGGUAGAGAAUAUUUAUUUAACUCAAAUUUCUUAAUCCUUAAUCAGAAUCUGACCGAUUUUUGAUGCAGGCUACUCUGGGUAUGUCGAUUGUGCCCUUUCAACAACCAUCGGCUGAACGACUUGCUGAGGUAUAAUAGUCAUUAUCUACCGGUAGACUUAAUCAUCUGCCUCAUACUCAUAAAUAUCCAUUCCCUGUACCUUUCCAGGAGGCUGGCCCAAGUACGGCGCUGAUAAUUGUCAAAUCUUCUUCCUCCGAUGAGCUAGCCGUGCUGAUUCCCAAAAUGAGGGUGGCACUCCCACCGGCACAAGCAGAAAAAAUCCGUUUCAAAGAGGUAAGAAACUUGAUGUCCAAAUCGGCCGAUUUUCUAUUACCAUCGACUAAUCUAUCUCUUUAUUAUUUAUCUUUUCUCAGGAGCAGGAUACUCCCAAUAACAGCCUCUUCUCUUUUGCGGUCGCAAUCUCUGAUGACAAGGAGGUCGCCUCGUGCUAGGUCGCCCUAAGUUUACUUCCUGAUGAAGUCCGCGCCAAGCUCCAGAGUAUACGGGCCCUCCUCCAAGAUGAUAUCGGCCGAUUGGUGGAAGACGCCUCGCCGAUUCGUCAACUCUUUAGUGAAAUCAGAGGCCGAGUUCUAGAAGAAGCAGAAGAAGCCCUGGCACCCGUAGCAUAUAUCGAGUCAAUGCGGAUCCCGGUUUUCAGAGCUUUACGACACAUGGCCGACCAUGCUAAAUUAGCAAAAGCACGCGAAGAGGAGGAUUCCUACAAACACCGAGCUCAAGAAGUGCACCAACGAAUCAGCGUCCUUGAAAAUUCUCAUCCAGACAUCGUCGGCACCAUAGAACGCAUCAAACGAUGAAGGGUAGAACUCGCCAAGGAAAUGGAGCAGGUGAUUAAAGCUAUAGCCGCCAAAGAGAAAAAACUCCAAGACCUCCCCCCUAUCAUCGCCGAUCUGAAGCAGGAAAGGCAAAACUUGGCUCAUGAAGCGAUCAAGCUCCAUCGUCACAUGCUAGAAGUCCUUGGAUCGGCCGCCGAUGACCAAAGAACCUUGGAUUUAGCCGAUGAGAUUCGGCAGCGAACGAUUGCGGCAAUUAAUGCUCUUCUUGGGUGAACUGUAGAAAACUCUGAGUGCCUUUUGUACAAACAUUUAAUGUUCUUUUACCGUUGCUGUGUGAAUUCAAACUUGGACCGUCCUCUAUUGUAGCUUUUCAUUUAAUAGUCCUUUACUUCGAUGGGACGCAUUUCACCAACUGUUACCCUUCAUCCUUUUCCUCCUAUAAGUAUAAGACCCUUGAAUCGCUUCUAAGGGCAUUCAUUCCUGGCCCAGCCUUCUUUCCUCAAGUCAUCUUGUUUCCAUAUUCUUAGACCAGGCGCCGAGAUGUCUUCCUUUUCCUCCAUCAAUCAGGUAUGAAAUCUCUCUUCGUCCCUCCGCCAGGCGUUAACAACGGGUGACUGUUCUUUACCUUCCAGCUGAAACACCUUAGUCCUGGCUUAGAGCGAGCCAUCAAAAUCAUGCACUCCGAGGAACCGCUUAUGCAGGCGAACAGAGAUCUGAUUGAGGCCCAUCGUGAAGAACUCAAAGAUCAUAUCCCCGCUCAUGUCUAGAAGAUCCUGGAUCACAUGGAAGCCAACUGCUCCAGGCGGCCGCCAAUCGAGAGGAGCCACCAGCUUCCUCAUCAGGUUGUUCUCGAGGACGCCACGGCGGGGACAUCCCAACCGCCUGUUGACAGAAGCAACCAACUUCCUUGCCAGGUUGCUGUUGAAGCCGCUAUGGAGGACUUAGAGGAGAAGAGUAUCCGCCUCCUAAUAGAACUAGGCCGGGUCGAGAGAGAGAUUAAAAAGAACAAAGCUCAGCCGAAACGUGAUUAUAAAUGUAUUGGUACUUUUGGUCUAAGGGUGACUUGUACCGUGUCGGCCAUGUAUCCUAUCGCUGUACCGAGUAAUAAAUCGGCCAGGCUAGUGAAAUGUUCCGUCCUCAAGGCGAUGUUAUCUUUGCAUCGGCUAUAUGAACAUGAGUCAAUAGGAGUCGGCCACGUCAUCUCAACACGCCAUAUCAUUUGCUACGCGUCCACCCAUAUGCUAGGUAAUAUCUCUUCAAAUACCUUCCGUUGAAAGCUCUUGUGAAUUCCUCUCCUUCGAUAGUUUCCAAUAUGUACGCAUUUCCCGAAGCGCAUUGGCCGACUCUAUACAACCCUUCCCAAGUAGGUGACCAUUUACCGAAUUUGGGAUCUUUAGACCCUAUCGGCAGCACCAACUUCCAUACCAAAUCUCCUUGGGAGAAUUGCUUGACCUUGACCUUCUUGUCGUACCACCUGGCCACCCUUUUCUUGUUUUCCUCGAUGCUGAUCAGGGCCCUUAAUCACUGACCCGCCAAAUCGUCGAGCUCCCCCUUCAUGAGGAGGAAUAUUCAUCGGCUGUCAACUGAUCUUGAAGUGACGUGCAUCUGGACCCUGUCCUUAAUUCCCAAGGCAGUACUGCCUCGUGAUCGUACACCAACUGAUAAGGAGAUAUUUUAGUAGCUCCAUGAUAGGCCAUCCUGUAUGCCCAUAAAGAUUCAGUCAAGGAUGCGUGCCACUUUUUGGGCUGCUCUUCUAUCUUCCUCUUGAUCAACUUGAUUAUUCCCUUAUUGGAUGAUUUGCCUUGACCGUUAGCUUGAGCAUAAUACGAAGAAGAAUUCAACAUUUUAAUUCCCAUAUCGGUGGUGAACUCUUCAAACUCUCCUGAUGUGAACAUUGUCCCUUGAUCAGUUGUGAUGGUUUGAGGGAUACCGAACCGAUAAACAAUGUGGUCUCUCUCAAAAUCGUUCAUAGCAGCCGAUGUUACGGUCUUCCUGUGGAGGAUCCACUUCGGAUUAGCUUGAUUAAACAGGGUUAAGCCGCCUAACAUGCGACACCCAUGCCUAAGCCAAGCUAACACGAAGUGCCGUCGGAUUUCAUCCGAUUAACCACUUGAACAGGAUCGAGUUAGCAACCUCACACGAAGGUGAGUGGUUCCAGAGAAUACAACGAGUCCACUGAGUUAAACAUUUUAACCAUUUAGUUCGGCCAUAAAAACCAACAUUAGAGUUUUACAAGGUUCAAAAGAAAACAACAGAGGUAAACACUAGCGGAAGCAAUCGUCGGGGUCGGAUGUCCUGGUGAGGCCAGCCGGGACAUCACUGAUUCCUCUCCUCACCGUCUGAGGAGGGAUCCCACUCGACCGUCCAGCCAGGCGGGAGCUGGGGCGGCCAAGCACUAGCAAGAGAGGGGUCGGGAGCGGCAGCUUCACCUAAAAAACAGGAGCCACAACAAGGCUGAGCUACUAAGCUCAACAAGACUUACUCGAUAGGAGUGAAACCACUCCACACUUCUAGACAUGCAGGGCUUUUUGGCUGAGGGGGGUUUGUUUGCCAAAAGCACUAAGUAAAACCCUAUUUUCAAGUUUUAGCUCCGGUUCUAAGUUCGUUAGCCGGUUUAGGUUUUGCAACUUAUUCUAAGCAAUCACAGAGCCAAACAAGAUGUGUAGAUAUAUCAACAAACAUGUCAUCAUCAGGUUCCUCAUUUACAGGGUGACAUAGCGAUCAAGCAAUCUCAAACUGUGAGAGGCAGACGAAUCGAUUCGAGUUCUUUAACCAUGCAUGGUGAACCUAACCUCACGACAUCCACGCACUGGAGGUCGCUUCCUGUGUCGCCUUCCCCAUCAAUCCCCUAACCCGUGUUGGGCCCAUUUCCUUUGGUGCAAGGUUCCACAGACCCGGCCUCUGCCGUUCUGUGACCACUCUUGCCACCACGUGCGACAUCCAGCAGGGGAAACUCCGUUCCAAGAACAAUGGGGCGACCGCUCACGUCUAGGUUCAAUCUGGUACUAGGCUUCCUCAUCCCAUACUAAGUAUGAGGCUAGUACUUUCAAACACUUGAUCACGAACACCACCACUGUCGGGCCUUAGCAAGUUUUCAUAGACAGACAGGGCGACCAUCCGUCCACCAAAGAGUUACCAAAACCCUGCCCUGUCCAUCGUCCUUAUAGUUAUAACAGAAAGGGUAGACAUGCAACUCCUACAACUCGCGAGUGACAGGAAAUCACUCGGCUUUUACCGUCUUCUAGUUAAGCAAGGCAACUACUCGGUCCAACAGCUAGUGCUCAGAUCAUGGGGAUAACUAAGUCAUGCAUCUAGGGUUUCAAACAACUCCUAUACGUAAAUGCACAAGCAUGUUACAGAAGGCAUGCGCAAGUCUGGUAAAACACACAGGGUUUUCAUGCAACCGGGGCUUGCCUUCGAGCAAGGAGGAAUGAAACUGCUCGACUUCGGGGGCGACUUCGGCUUCAGCGGGUAGGAGCUCAGCUACAGCUUCGUCUUCUGGCGCCGGGUGUAGCUCGUAGAAGCCGUCGGCGAGGUGCAGCUCUCCACGAAUGCAAUGCAAGAGUUAGCAUAGACGGUUAUUUCAACAGCAACACUGGCUCGCCUGAGCCUAGAAACUCGCGACAAGGAGCAGGAGGGUAGGGAGGUUCAAGAGAGCUGGUGAUGAUCAAGAGACAAGGGUCGGACAAUAACUUAUGAUCUGAUCCGUGAACUAGAGGAUGUGGUAUACUAGGAAUCCUCAGACGCAAGCGCUGAAGGGUUCCUAAGUUUUACACAUACACCCUCGGGUUAAAGAAAAAGAUCACAGCUGAGCCCUCGGGCGAGGCGGAUAAGGGUCGGCGGAUUAGAUAGGGUCGGGCAAGAUGGGACCGGGGUCGGGCGGAUAAGAGGGGUCGGGCGAAACGGACUGGGGUCGGCAGCUUACCUUCUUCUUGAAAGGAAGGCUUGGGGUCGGGAAGAGGUAGACUUGGGCGGAGGGACUAAAGCUUUGAACAACGGCUAGGACCGGCAAUGCUCCUUCGGCGGCGAUGCUUCUUGCAUAUCACAAGUAAGCUUUUUGCGCAGCACGGAGGAGCAAGCGGCUGGGUGACUUGGAGAAAACUGAGGGAGAAGCUGAGAGAAGAGUUCCUCAAGGAACUUGGCGUGUGGCGCUAGGAGCUUGAGCAGGGAGCGAGAGAAUGGCUAAAGGCAACAAUGGCGGAGGGAACUCUGACGGCUGGUGCAUUCCUUUUAUAGCUGCUGGAACGGAGAAAGGAAGCGGCGUGGGAGAGAGAGUAGGGGAGCGGCGUGAAGGCCGGGGAGAAGCAAUGGAGUGCUCUGCCGAGGCGGCGAUUGAGCGAAGAGGGCGGUGGUGCAGGACUCCGGGGGUGACGCCAGCGGUCAUUGGGUUCUGCCGUCAGGGCGGCGCAGGAGCGGGUAUGCCGGUGGUUGAGCUUUGGUGGAGGCGGGCGUCGUCGUGCGGAAGAUUUGAUAGAAGCGACCAGUUUAACGGCGCUAGAAUCAAGGGCGCACAGGUGAGAAGACAGGUAGCCGCGGGCGCGCGGGCGAGCGUGGAGCAACAGAUUGUCGGGCGGCUUCUGACAGGGCGGGGAAAGGAGCUGUCACUGCCGCGGUCGGGGUUGGCGAUGGAGGAAUCGUCAUGUAGCGGAGACCAGGCGGCGCGACUGUGUUCGAAGUGACAGAAAAGACGGGCGACAUCGGGCUCUGCGGCCGGGAUCUGGCGGCGUGAUGAUGGGCGCGGGAGGCGAGGCUCUGCAGAAAGGUUGCAGAGGGGCUUCCGCUGCCAUAGGGGAAGGGGGCGCGAGAAUCCACUCGGUCGCUAGCCAGAGACAAAACUGAGCGGCGGCGUCGGAGAAGACGAGCCACGCGGCAGGGAGACUCUGAAGCGGGCAUGCAACUUGAGUGCGCCUGUCGCGGAGGAUCUGGGGAAAAAGAUCUCGCGGGCCCACCGGUGGAUAGAACAGACGUUUGAGGGAGACUUAGAAGGAUCCGACGGUUAACUGGAUUUGCCGGGGUCGGGAUCGGAGCGAAGCGGGGAGGGGUCGGGUCUUAGGGGUCGGGUUUGGGCUGAAGGCUGAGCACUCAGGCGCGGUAAAAACAAGGCAGAUGACUAUGAUCAAGGGCUCCGAUUAAGAUUAACUCGGGAGAUUAGGGGUCGGUCGUCACACUUCCGUUCCAAUGCACUUGAGCAGAACCCCAUCAAUCGUCCGGUAAAACAAAUCAUCCUCAAGUAACACAUAUUUCGUGGCCUGAAAACGUACUCGCCGAUCCACUUUCUUGGAUGGAUCUUUUAAGUAAUCGGUGACCUCCUUUCGCCAAUCAUCGGCCGCAAGCUCCAGAGUCAUGGCACCUUGAAUCGGCCGAUACCUGGAAGCAUGUUGAGCAAGCUUGUUGGCUUCUUCAUUGUAAUUUCUGGGAAUAUGCUCAAUAAUCGUAGACUUGAAUUCUUUUAACAACCGAAGGCAAUCUUCAUAGUAAAUCCUUAAGACAUCAUCUUUACAUUCAGAUUUCCCCGUCAAUUGAUCGACGAUGAGCAUGGAAUCCCCAAAAAUCUCCACUGCAUUGGCCUUGACCUCUCUCAAUAAUUGGAUACCCUUUAGGAUAGCUCGGUACUCUUCUUGAUUAUUAGUAGCGGAUGCUUCUAUCGGCAGAGAGAAAUCAUAACUUGCCCCCCGAGGCGAUAUGAGGACGAUACUGAUUCCUGAUCCAGCCCCACACGAAGAACCGUCAAAGUACAGAGUCCAUGGAGCUACUUCAAUGACAGCGAUUUCCGGUCCACAAUGCUGAGCCACGAAAUCGGCCAUUACUUGGCCUUUGACAGCUUUGGCCAUUUCGUACCUCAGGUCAAAUUCUGACAGAGCUAGAAUCCACUUCCCAAUCCUUCCUUUCAAAAUCGGCAAUGACAGCAUGUACUUCACCACGUCGUAUUUGCAUACGACUAUGCACUCUGCUGAGGAAAACAUGUAAGGCGAUGUUGAGGGCCUAGGUACGAGUUUCAGAUCAUCUACAUCUAUUAUAAAAUGCUGAAAAAGUUUUAAGAUGGAUUGUUUUACCUAACAAAUAUGUUCACAUAUAUAUUUGUGUUGAUGCCAGAUUUUAACACGUAUGGAAUCGACGUCAAAAAGGGGAAAGGAUUAGCCGAUGCAGCGGGUUGAAAAAGUCACGAUUGGGAAUCGGCCGAUUGGUGCUACAGUUGGAGAUCGGCCAAUUGACGCUGCAGUGUUUUAGCGGACGGAGUUGGUAGGAAUCGACCGAUUAAGAGGCUGGAGCAAUUGGGCCAAUAUGGGCUUAAAGUGAGUCGCAAAAGAGAAGAUGAUGGGGGAUUGGCCCGCAGGAGGGCAACAACCAACUCCGAUACGAAUUGUACUUGUAAAUAUUUGUUUUCAUUUAAAAUUAGAGAUAGAUCCUAGUUGGUUAAGAAGUUGGUUGUAACAGGCUAUAAAUAGCCACCUUUAGAGAUCUGUAAACAACACAUCAAUCAAUAUAACAAUCUACUAUUCUCUCGUACUUUACUUUCAAGUCGGCGACUUCGCCAAUACUUUUCUUCUUUCACGAGUUCGUACAGGUUGGCAGGGCUACAUCAACACGAUCUCCGGCCGAUUAUGUAAGUUCCGUUUAUCGAGUAAUAUCUAAGCUUUAACUUCAGGCACAUCGUUGUCGUUUCAUUUAGAUUUAUUCACCAGUUAUCGAUAUUUACUAGAAUUCUAGGUUUUACCUAUUGUUCUAGUUUUAUCACCAGUUAUCUAGCUUGAGAUGAGAACUUUCGGCUUAUUUAUAGUUAUUUUUGUCUAUUACUUUCGCACAGCCGAUUAUAUCUAUUUCAAGUGUUGCUCUUGUAGCGUUAUUUAGUUUACUCCAGUAGCUUUCUUCAUAACCGCUGCCUAGUUGUCGGCUGUAAUAGCAAAUUGGCCAAUUCGUUGAUACGCUUCCUCGAGAUCGGAACUCUAGCUGAUCGCAACCCCUGGAAUUUGACACAUUUUAUCCUUGCCAAUCAACAGGUCAGAUUGGCUGGCACGUUGCGCGAACCGCACCAGGGCGAUUACCCGAACAGGAGCUAAGCAGAUUCUCCCGGGUCGUGUGUCCGACGUUGAGAGUCAAUCGGCUGACUUUUAGAGCCAACACACUUUUGGCACGCCCGGUGGGACCAAUACAACUACUACCAUGUCGAAAGCUGCCGAAAUCUCCGAAGACAACGUCAUCAAAGUGAUGGAAGCAGACCUCAAGGACGACAAGAAGGAAGAGCUGGAAAGGCAGAUAGCACAAUACCGGAAGACAUGCCUGCAAUCUUUCAGUCGUACCAGGGGCGGGGAGACUGUCAAGAAAGCUCCUUUUCCAACUCCCCGCCAGAUCACAAUUGCCCAGCAUUCGGGCAAAAUGUCCGAGAUGGUUCAGCAGUCUAUCUACCAGGCUUUCAUUGAUCAAUCCCUGGUGAUAACUAACAUGGUAUACAAUGCCGUCAUCAGCUCCCUGACCAAUGGCGUAUCUCAAGGGUACCAGGGGUCGGCGUACGCCCCACCUAUUACAGCCCCAGUCAGGAGUUUUCCAAGCGCAUCCCACUCGGCUCCUCAGCUGAUCCAAGCUCAACAUGGAGGACCCGAGGCUUCUUUGCCACCAGUGCACCCAGGAUACAACGGUCCACCGUACCUCCCAUCGCAAGUGCUACCUUAAUCCGUUCAAAUUUCCUCCGCGCAAUCGUCACCAUUAAAUGCAGUGCCUUGGGGGGCACCAUCAACGAUGGCCGUCCAAGAUCAAUCGGACGGUUCUGGGGGCUCUCCGAUCCAGGCACUAUUCCAAUCGGUCGUUCGGCCGACGAUCCCGCAGUAUCAACCGGCCAUGCCUGAAGUUGGCAGGGGAGCAGAUACUGCUGAGGCGCUCUGAGGUGCUGCGCCGAUUAUACUAUAUGAUGAAGCAGCCGGUUCUCUGAAACACUAGACGCUGACCACGCAGCUGGCCACAUCACCGCAGAACCCGCCGCACGCUUUCGUCCAUCACUCAGUCAUCCCACCGCCGAUCUACAAAAAUGUGCCGGCUCCCCAGCCAGUAGUUCAUCAACAUCAAGUAGACUGGACGGCAAGGAUAGCAGAGGUGAUCCAAGAUCAAUUCGGUUUGAAGACGAAGGUACAAACUUACACGUACAGAACACCGUACCCACCAGCCUACGACCUACUGCCGUUUCUGUUGGAGGUAUGCCCUAGAGGCAAUCAUAGAGAUGAUGAUAUUCCAUUUGUAUCCAUGAUUUGUAUAUUGUGUUCAUUGAAUAUCCAUUGAAGGCUACUUGAAUUGAUUUGCAAUUAUGUGAAUUGUAUGUGAAACUCUUUACUUGUAUGGUUAUUCUAAAGUUGUCCCUAGUCGGAGUUCAUGUGCGGACACACAUGAAUAUUAGACUAGCACAUGUAUUAGUUGAUGACUAUGUUUCACAAGUCAUGGACAUGGAGAUGUUGAACUAAUAAUGUGGAGACAUGUGCUAGGACUGACCCAACACGAGAAGUGGUUCUCUCUUUAAACAACAUAUACGCUUUGUCCUUAGACCUGAGAUUGUCGCAUGUAUUCUAGAUGUGGAUCGACCUACUUAGGGGCUAUCAAACGCUACGCCGUAACAGGGUAGUUAUGAAGGUAGCUUUCGGGUUUGUCAAGAAGCAUGCUAUGAGACAUGGUCAAUCAAGAUGGGAUUUGCCCCUCUCUGAUUGAGAGUGAUAUCUCUGGGCCCCUCGAGUGAUCGGAUCCAAAAAUGCAUGGCCAUGCUACGUAUGGUUAAGAGUUAACCUACAAAGGGAUUCCGAAUCACAGGAUCGAGAAAGAGCGGUCGGCUUGAAGCUAGACCAAAUAUCGUGAGGCAAAGGGAAUAGCAUGUAUAUUAUGUUGUGAUGGUUCAUCUGAUAUGAUCUUCGUGUGCGUAUAGGAGUUGGCACGUCUUGCUAGAGGCCGCUACCGACUAUUGGGCCAAGUAGGAGUACUCGGGCCAUGUCUAUACGUAUCCGAACCCACAGGGUCAUACACUUAAGGGGCUGGAAGCCCAAUUCGGAUCAGAUCCAAGUUGGAUUAGGUUUAGAAGUACUAAUGGGCCUCGGAUCCAGAGGCCCGUCAGGAACGUCUAUAAAUAGAGGGGUGGGGGCGCCCUAGGGUUUACACCUUUUGGUGAAACACACCUGCCGCGCCUCCCACGCCCUCGCCUGUUGCAACUCGCGGAUCUAGCAGUCCGGGUUGCGACGCUUCCUCCCUGCACGUGUGGAUAGCUUGGAGGUUUUGUGCCUGCAGCACUUGGAUGAGCCGCCCACGAGCCGCCGACGAGCCACGACGAGCCGCGGCACUGGAGGCGAUCUUGCUGCACGUGGACGAGCUACUGAGGAGCUGCUGGAUGUGAUCGACUACGUACGACUACGUUGAUCGACUACGUACGACUACGUGAUCGUCUUCACUACAUCGACACAUAUCUACAUAUUCCGCACCAGUAGUGCGUCGAGUGGUAAUCACGUGAUCCUUAUACGGCAGUUCUUCCUGGUUAUACGCGGUAGAAUUUUUGAAUUGCGCUAGUGUAGCCUACCUCGUAUCUCUAUAGUGGUAUCAGAGCCGUAGGCUCUUAGUUUUGGAUUCGGGAUGUGUGCAUAUGGAGAUAUGCGAGUUUUCCGUUUGAUCUAUGUCCUGUUUUCGUGCCCUUGCUGCAAUGGUAGUGUAACGACAUACUCCUACCGGUCGGUUUCCGCCAUCGGAGUUAAGUGAUACACGUAAAUCCAGUUGCAGUGAGUGAAGAUCAAUAUUAUUGGUCGAAUCGAAAUCCAGGGUCAUACGCCAGGCGCAUUAGAUGUGCAAUAGUAGAUGGGAUCUACUGCCGGGGUCGGGAUUUUUGCCGUAUGCGUAUGCUUCGGUAAAUCAGCCAUAACUUUUCGGUACGAUCUCGGAUCGGGGCGAAUUUUAUAUGAAAAUUGAUCUACAAAAAAAGUUACACAUGAAAUUCAACCGCUUCGCCGUUUUCGGCGAAAUUAUAUUUCCCAAAUUCGGCUUGGAAGAUGGAGUUUCGGGCCUCCGAAGUUUGGAACGUUAGGGCGCCUAACUCUGUUUUGCAGGAUGUAUGUAUGUAUCUUGUGAUUAGUAUGGCCCCGUUGUGUAUGUGAUGCAUGUGUGUAACUCAUUCGUGACCUGCGUGUCACGCGUACGGCAACACGGCAGGAGCCAUAUGUGUUGUCACUUUAUUGUAUUUAAUGGUCUGCGUACCAAUCUGUGAUGAUCCAAGCAACUAUGUAAUCUUCAUUACUAGAUUCUUUACUAGCUAUUAGGCGUAAUAGCAUGUUCUAGUUCUUGGAGGACUCAUCACCAGGAGGAUGGCACACAUGGAACAUGGAGAUGGAGAUCACCAUGGUGAACAGGUUCUAUGGAGAUGGAGAUCACCAUAUGAAAACGGGCCAUACUGUGUCACAGCUGUGUGAAUGCUAUUCUGUUUAUGUUUUACUUUCUGCAUGUUGUGAUGUUAGAAGUAGAACGAUCCCUCACAAAGUUUAAGUUAGUAUGCCCUCCCAACUAAAACUUGCACCGUCCCAUGUCUUGUACAAUUAGUGGUGGGUCUAUGAAAUUAGGGUGCCACUAGUUUUCCUUGACUAGACGGGUUUGUGUCGGACACUUACACGCAUAAGGGUUGGUUUGCUUAACAAGGUUAUCUUAACGGUUAAGGACCUUGGGGCAUAAAGGUUGGGCGCCGAGACAUAGAGAUGUCACCCAACAACAGGAGUCAUAUGUGAUAUGAUUAGCAAAAGUUGCUUACCGAUCUACCUCGUUUGCUAGCGGUGAUGCUAAAGCUCACUAGUAGACUUGUUAGUUGUGGAUCCUGAAUCACUAAGUAGAGGGAUAUUGACUUUAGUGGGAGUAGAUUCUGUUAAAAUAGUUUAAUGUAAUUUGCUCUAUCAUGGAUACGUUUGUCUUAGUGUAUUUUGCAUUACUUUUGUUGUAGAUUAAAUGGCACCUAGCAACACCACCACAUCGUUUGCUUUGCGUUCGGUCCUUGAGAAGGACAAGUUGAAUGGAACAAACUACUCGGAUUGGAUCCGUAACCUGAGAAUUGUUCUCAGGGCCGAUAAAAAGGAAGAUGUUCUAGACACCCCACUACCACCAGUACCUGCUAAUGAUGCAUCUGCCACCGUUAAGGCUGCUUACAAGAAGGCAUUUGAUGCUAAUCUUGAGGUAAGCUGCCUUAUGCUUGCUUGCAUGGAACCCGAGCUGCAGAUGCAGUUCGAAACAAAUCAUGAGGCACACGAUAUGAUCGUGGUGCUCAAGGACAUGUUCCAGACACAGGCUAGGACCGAAAGGUUCAAUGUGUCCAAAGCCUUUCUGGAGUGCAAGUUAGCAGAAGGCGCAGCAGUAGGACCACAUGUAAUCAAGAUGGUUGGUUACACUCAGCGAUUGGAGAAGCUGGGCUUCCCAAUGGGCAAAGAGUUGGCCACUGACUUCAUUCUUUCAUCUCUUCCGCCUAGCUAUGGGAACUUCAUCUCGAACUACCAUAUGCAUGGGACGGAGAAGGGUUUGAAUGAACUGUGUGGUAUGCUCAAGACAGCAGAGGUAGACAUCAAGAAAAGCGUUAGUACCAGCCAUGUGAUGGCUAUACAGAACAAGCCUAGAUUUAAGAAGAAGGGCAAUUCUUGGAAGAAGAAGGGCAAGGCUGGAACGUCCAAGCCAAACCCAGCGCCCAAGGUUAAAGCUGGACCUUGACAUGCUCCAGACAAAGAGUGCUUUUACUAUUAUGAACUUGAUCACUGGAAGAGAAACUGCAAGCAGUACCUAGCUUCGUUGAAGAAUGGCGGAAGUAAGAGUACUUCUACCUGUUGGGAUACGAGGUAGGCUACACUAGCGCGAAUCAAAAUUUCUACCGCGUAAAACAAGGAAGAACUGCCGUAUAAGGAUCACGGGAUUACAACUCGAUGCACUACUGGUGCGGAAGAUGUAGAUAUGCGUCGAUGCAGUGAAGACGAUCACGUAGUCAUACGUAGUCGAUCAACGUAGUCGUACGUAGUCGAUCACGUCCAGCAGCUCCUCAGCAGCUCGUCCACGUGCAGCAAGAUCGUCUCCGGUGCCGCGGCUCGUCGUCGGCUCGUCGUGGCUCGUCGGUGGCUCGUCCAAGUGCUGCAGGCGCAACACCUCCAAGGUAUCCACGCGUGCAGGGAGGAAGCGUCGCAAGCCGGACUGCUAGAUCCGCGAGUUGCAACAGGCGAGGGCGUGGGAGGCGCGGCAGAUGUGUUUCGCCAAAAAGGGUGUAAACCCUAGGGCGCCCCCACCCCUCUAUUUAUAGAGGUUCCUGACGGGCCUCUGGGUCCGAGGCCCAUUAGUACUUCUAAACCUAAUCCAACUCGGAUCUGAUCCGAAUUGGGCUUCCAGCCCCUUAAGUGUGUGACCCUAUGGGUUCGGAUACGUAUAGACAUGGCCCGAGUACUCCUACUCGGCCCAAUAGUCGGUAGCGGCCUCUAGCAAGACGUGCCAACUCCUAUACGCACACGAAGAUCAUAUCAAACGAACCAUCACAACGUAAUAUACAUGCUAUUCCCUUUGCCUCAUGAUAUUUGGUCUAGCUUCAAGCCGACCGCUCUUUCUCGAUCCUGUGAUUCGGAAUCCCUUUGUAGGUUAACUCUUAACCGUACGUAGCAUGGCCAUGCAUUUUCGGAUCCGAUCACUCGAGGGGCCCAGAGAUAUCACUCUCAAUCAGAGAGGGGCAAAUCCCAUCUUGAUUGACCAUGUCUCAUAGCAUGCUUCUUGACAGACCCGAAAGCUACAUUUAGAACUACCCUGUUACGGCGCAGCGUUUGAUAGCCCCUAAGUAGGUCGAUCCACAUCUAGAAUACAUGCGACAAUCUCAAGUCUAAGGACAAAGCGUAUAUGUUGUUUAAAGAGAGAACUACUUCUCGUAUUGGGUCAGUCCUAGCACAUGUCUCCACAUGUGUCCACAUUAUUAGUUCAACAUCUCCAUGUCCAUGACUUGUGAAACAUAGUCAUCAACUAAUACAUGUGCUAGUCUAAUAUUCAUGUGUGUCCUCACAUGAACUCCGACUAGGGACAACUUAACAAUAACCAUACAAGUAAAGAGUUUCACAUACAAUUCACAUAAUUGCAAAUCAAUUCAAGUAGCCUUCAAUGAAUAUUCAAUGAACACAAUAUACAAAUCAUGGAUACAAAUGGAAUAUCAUCAUCUCUAUGAUUGCCUCUAGGGCAUACCUCCAACAAUAUCUCAGGUACGCUUGUUGUUAAUGUUAUAGACAACAUAUUUCUCGCUGAUACAAUUAUUAAUUCUUGGGUAUUUGAUACCGGAUCGGUUGCUCAUAUUUGCAAUUCGAUGCAGGGAAUGAUAAGAAGUAGAAGCGUGGAAAGAGGAGAAGUUGAUUUCCACGUGGGCAAUAAUGCAAGAGUUGCUGCGUUGACCGUCGGGACGAGGCAACUCCACCUCCCGUCAGGAUUUAUUAUGGAGUUGAAUAAUUGUUAUUUUGUUCCUAGUUUAAGUCGAAACAUUUUGUCUCCUUCAUGCUUGAUGAAGGAUGGUUAUUCAUUUGCGAGUGAAAACAAUGGUUGUCUGAUCUCUAAGCAUAAUAUGUUUAUGGCUUUUGCACCCAUUGUGAAUGGAUUAUUUGUUUUAAAUCUUGAUGGUUCACCUGUCUUUAAUGUAAGUGCUAAAAGGCCUCGGCCUAAUGAUUUGAGUCCUACCUACUUGUGGCAUUGUCGUUUGGGUCAUAUAAGUGAAAAGCGCAUGAAGAAGCUCUAUUCUGAUGGACUUCUAACUUCGUUUGAUUUUGAAUCAUACGAGACAUGUGAGGCUUGCUUGCUAGGCAAGAUGACCAAGACGCCUUUCACAGGAUUUCCUGAGAGAGCAGUAGACUUGUUGGAACUCGUACAUAGUGAUGUAUGCGGACCAAUGAGCACGACGGCUAGAGGAGGAUUCCAAUACUUCAUAACUUUCACUGAUGAUUUUAGUAGAUAUGGCUAUGUCUACUUGAUGAGGCACAAGUCUGAAACCUUUGAAAAGUUCAAGGAAUUUCAGAAUGAAGUUGAAAAUCAGCGUGCCAAGAAAAUUAAGGCCUUACGAUCUGAUCGUGGAGGCGAGUAUUUGAGCCACGAGUUUAGCAAUCAUCUAAAGAGUUGCGGAAUUGUUCCACAACUUACGCCGCCUGGAACACCUCAGAGAAACGGUGUGUCCGAGCGACGUAAUCGAACUUUGUUACACAUGGUUCGAUCAAUGAUGAGCCAGUCGGACCUACCGUUGUCAUUUUGGGGAUACACUCUAGAAACAGCAGCUUUCACACUUAAUAGGGUACCAUCUAAAUCCAUAGUUAAGACACCAUAUGAGAUAUGGACUGGAAAGGUUCCUAGUUUGUCUUUUCUAAAGAUUUGGGGAUGUGAAGUGUUUGUCAAGCGACUUCAGUCGGACAAGAUCACACCCAAGUUGGAUAAGUGCAUUUUCGUGGGAUAUCCAAAGGAAACUUUGGGAUAUUAUUUCUACAACCGAUCAGAAGGCAAAGUGUUUGUCGCCCGGAACGGGGUUUUCCUAGAGAAAGAGUUUCUCAAAGGAGAAAAGAGUGGAAAGACAGUGCAUCUUGAAGAAGUUCAAGAUGAGCCGAUCGGGCAAGAAUCAAUGAAUGAUGCUAACGUAGCAGAACAAGUUGAGAUACCCAUGGCAAGAGAAGCACCGCCACAACCACGAAGGUCGGCAAGGCUCCGCGAAAUGCGGGAAAUAUUAUUGUUGGACAAUGAUGAGCCUGCGACAUAUGCAGAAGCAAUGAUGGACCCAGACUCCAAAAAAUGGCAGAGUGCCAUGCAAUCCGAAAUAGAGUCCAUGGGAGACAAUCAAGUUUUGAACUUGGUUGACCCGCCUGAUGGUGUUGAAGCCAUAGAGUGCAAGUGGAUCUAUAAAGCACGACUUGUCGCAAAAGGUUUUCGACAAGUUCAAGGAGUUGACUACGACGAGACCUUCUCGCCCGUAGUGAUGCUUAAGUCCAUUCGGAUUAUUCUAGCUAUAGCUGCAUAUUUCGAUUAUGAGAUAUGGUAGAUGGAUGUCAAGACAACUUUCUUGAAUGAAAACCUAGCUGAGGACGUGUAUAUGAUACAGCCCGAGGGUUUUGUCGAUCCGAAAAAUGCUGGAAAGGUAUGCAAGCUUCAGAGAUCCAUUUAUGGAUUGAAGCAAGCAUCUAGGAGUUGGAACAUUCGUUUUGAUGAAGUGGUCAAAGGGUUUGACUUCACCAAGAACGAAGAAGAGUCUUGUGUUUACAAGAAGGUUAGUGGGAGCUCUGUAGUAUUUCUAAUCUUAUAUGUGGAUGACAUAUUACUGAUUGGAAAUAACAUUCCUAUGCUUGAGUCCGUAAAGACUUCACUGAAAAAUAGUUUUUCGAUGAAGGACUUAGGGGAAGCGGCAUAUAUUCUGGGUAUUAAGAUCUAUAGAGAUAGAUCGAGAAGGCUUAUAGGUUUAAGCCAAGAUACUUACAUUGACAAAGUGUUGAAGCGGUUCAGCAUGGAAGAGGCAAAGAAAGGGUUCUUGCCUACGUCACAUGGCAUACAUCUCAGCAAGACUCAGUGUCCUUCGACUGCUGAUGAGCGGGAUCGCAUGAGUAGAGUGCCAUAUGCCUCGGCUAUUGGAUCUAUCAUGUAUGCAAUGAUAAGUACUCGCCCAGAUGUUUCAUAUGCGCUAAGUAUGACAAGCAGACACCAAUCUGAUCCAGGUGAGAGUCACUGGACAGCGGUGAAAAACAUUCUUAAGUACUUGAGAAGGACUAAAGAUAUGUUCCUCGUCUAUGGAGGUGAGGAGGAUCUCGUUGUAACAGGUUACACCGAUGCUAGUUUCCAAACCGACAGAGAUGAUUCAAAGUCACAAUCAGGAUUUGUGUUGACGCUAAAUGGUGGUGCUGUUAGUUGGAAGAGUUCCAAGCAGGAGACGGUGGCCGAUUCUACGACAGAAGCUGAGUACAUCGCGGCUUCAGAAGCCGCGAAGGAAGGUGUUUGGAUAAGGAAUUUCCUCAUUGAGCUUGGUGUGUUCCCGAAUGCGUCGAGCCCAUUGAAUCUCUACUGUGAUAACAAUGGGGCAAUUGCGCAAGCAAAGGAGCCAAGGAACCACCAGAAGAACAAACACGUAAUGCGGCGAUUUCAUCUCAUUCGAGACUUCGUUAACCGGGGUGAGAUCAAGAUAUGCAAAAUACACACGGAUCUGAACAUUUCUGAUCCGUUGACAAAACCACUCCCGCAGUCUAAGCAUGAUGCGCAUGUUAGAGCUAUGGGUAUUAGGUACCUUCUAGAUUGACUCUAGUGCAAGUGGGAGACUGUUGGAGGUAUGCCCUAGAGGCAAUCAUAGAGAUGAUGAUAUUCCAUUUGUAUCCAUGAUUUGUAUAUUGUGUUCAUUGAAUAUCCAUUGAAGGCUACUUGAAUUGAUUUGCAAUUAUGUGAAUUGUAUGUGAAACUCUUUACUUGUAUGGUUAUUCUAAAGUUGUCCCUAGUCGGAGUUCAUGUGAGGACACACAUGAAUAUUAGACUAGCACAUGUAUUAGUUGAUGACUAUGUUUCACAAGUCAUGGACAUGGAGAUGUUGAACUAAUAAUGUGGACACAUGUGGAGACAUGUGCUAGGACUGACCCAACACGAGAAGUGGUUCUCUCUUUAAACAACAUAUACGCUUUGUCCUUAGACCUGAGAUUGUCGCAUGUAUUCUAGAUGUGGAUCGACCUACUUAGGGGCUAUCAAACGCUACGCCGUAACAGGGUAGUUAUGAAGGUAGCUUUUGGGUUUGUCAAGAAGCAUGCUAUGAGACAUGGUCAAUCAAGAUGGGAUUUGCCCCUCUCUGAUUGAGAGUGAUAUCUCUAGGCCCCUCGAGUGAUCGGAUCCAAAAAUGCAUGGCCAUGCUACGUACGGUUAAGAGUUAACCUACAAAGGGAUUCCGAAUCACAGGAUCGAGAAAGAGCGGUCGGCUUGAAGCUAGACCAAAUAUCGUGAGGCAAAGGGAAUAGCAUGUAUAUUAUGUUGUGAUGGUUCGUCUGAUAUGAUCUUCGUAUGCGUAUAGGAGUUGGCACGUCUUGCUAGAGGCCGCUACCGACUAUUGGGCCAAGUAGGAGUACUCGGGCCAUGUCUAUACGUAUCCGACCCAUAGGGUCACACACUUAAGGGGCUGGAAGCCCAAUUCGGAUCAGAUCCGAGUUGGAUUAGGUUUAUAAGUACUAAUGGGCCUCGGAUCCAGAGGCCCGUCAGGAACCUCUAUAAAUAGAGGGGUGGGGGCGCCCUAGGGUUUACACCUUUUGGCGAAACACACCUGCCGCGCCUCCCACGCCCUCGCCUGUUGCAACUCGCGGAUCUAGUAGUCCGGCUUGCGACGCUUCCUCCCUGCACGUGUGGAUACCUUGGAGGUGUUGCGCCUGUAGCACUUGGACGAGCCGCCGACGAGCCGCCGACGAGCCACGACGAGCCGACGACGAGCCGCGGCAUCGGAGGCGAUCUUGCUGCACGUGGACGAGCUGCUGAGGAGCUGCUGGACGUGAUCGACUACGUACGACUACGUUGAUCAACUACGUACGACUACGUGAUCGUCUUCACUGCAUCGACGCAUAUCUACAUAUUCCGCACUAGUAGUGCGUCGAGUGGUAAUCCCGUGAUCCUUAUACGGCAGUUCUUCCUGGUUAUACGCGGUAGAAUUUUUGAAUUGCGCUAGUGUAGCCUACCUCGUAUCUCUACAGUUUCCACAUCGGUACAAAGUUCCCGACUUCACCAAGUUUUCGGGGCUUGAUGACACCUCAACUGUGGAGCACGUGAACAGAUUCAUCAUCCAAUGUGGAGAGGCAGCUACACAGGAUGCCCUGUGGGUGCAUCUUUUCUCAUCAUCUCUGUCUGGUUCAACCUUCCAAUGGUUCCCUACGCUACCACCCAACUCCAUAGUUACUUGGGCUGACUUGGAGAAGCAGUUCCACAAGUACUUCUAUGAGGGAGUGCAUGAGAUGAAGCUCUCAGACCUGACUAGCCUCAGGCAAAGAAGCAAUGAGCCAGUGUCCACAUAUGUGCAGAGGUUCAGGGAGGUCAGAAACAAGUGCUACACCCUAAUCCUAACCGAUGCACAGCUGGUCGAUAUAGCCUUCCAACGUCUCUUGCCACACAUCAAAGAGAAGUAUGCUUCCCGAGAGUUUGAAAGCCUAAGCCAAAUUGUGCACUGAUUGUCUGGUCAAGAGGUACGCCCUUUUGAUCAACGGAGGAAUUUUCAGAAGAAGGUGGCAUACCUAGAAGGAUCUGAAUCCAAAGAGGAGGCGGAAAUCGGCCUAGCAGAGUGGGUUAAGGGGAAAACACUGAUAUCAUGUCCUUUCGGGAAAAAGGAACCAGAGGCAUUCGGUUUUGACACGUCAAAGGCCGACAAAAUUUUUGACCUACUCCUCCAAGAAGGAUAGAUCAAGCUCUCACCCUACCAUACGAUUCCAUCGGCCGAGCAACUGAAAAAGAUGAAGUAUUGCAAAUGGCAUAAUGCCACGUCCCAUGACACAAAUGAGUGCAAGAUCUUCCGUCAAUAGAUACAAUCGGCCAUUGAGCAAGGCAGGCUCAAAUUUGAGGUCCCGACAAAGCCAGCAAAGCCAAUGAAGAUUGAUCAGCAUCCUUUCCCCACCAACAUGGUUGAUACAGGAAGGAACGCGCUUCAAACCAAAGUGCUGACAUCGGAAUCGGCUAAAAAGAACGGCGUUGUGGACCCCAGGAAUCAAGCUGCACCUGAGGAUGUCAAAGGGAAGAGACCGAUGGAUGAUGAAGGCGAAGGAUCGGAAGGACCACACAGACCCCUCACUUCCCAAAUUUUACUCAACAAAUACUAGCGGCAACAAGAAAGUUCAAGAUUUCGCGAAGAGAUGAUGUGACGACACGAAGAUCAUUGGCGAUGUCCGUUCUUCAUCCAUUGUUGGGAAAAUAACCUCAGGUUGCCAUCGGCCGAUAAUUGCCCAAAAUGCAACGGUCCAUAUCGCAACAACCGCCCUUUUAGAAGGUCUCGUUCCAGAGACAGAGGAUCAGAGCCAUUCAGUAGAAACUGGCACGAGCAGAAGGAUCGGCGCCUUUCAGUGCGUGAUCGGCUGGGGGCAGGAGUGACCGAUAUGAUCGGCCGAAGGACAGACACGAGCGAUACGAUAGGCCAGGGGGUAGGACCGACCAACAUGACUGACCAGAGGGCAGAGUCAGUGCACACGAUCGGCUGAAAGAGAUGGCCGAUGCUCGGGUGUCAGAUGAAAAUCCCUUGGGGCGAGAGCCAGAAUGGGAGCGUGCCAGACUGCCGGCCAAAACAGUGAACCCCAGGUGGUGCCCUGACGGGUUGACUAAGUCCCAAAAAAGAAGAAUCCAGCGUCUGCGCCAAUGGGAGCAAUAGGAGGAAGAGCAGCAACGGAUAGUGGAUAAAAAGAACGACGAAUCUCAGGUUUGGCUCCCCAAAAGAAACAACAGGGAAGGCGACAACAACCAAGAAUCGGCAGCCGAUGUCAGCAUGGUUUUCAUCUUGCCGAUGGAAUUCAUGGCUCCCGCCGACUGGUAUGACACAUCAGAGAUGGAGGAACAGAUGGCGCAAUUGGCUUUGGAGCCAAUGACGGCCACUUUUGAGAAACCCGAAGAUGAAAAAUGGCAACACCUUAAGGCGCUGUUCCUCAAAGGACAUGUCAACGGUCGACCUGUCACCAGACUACUAAUAGAUGGAGGCGCUGCAGUCAACAUCAUGCUGUACGCCAUGUUCCGAAAAUUGGGUAAAAGCGAUGAAGACCUAACCAAGACGGACAUGAUGCUCAAGGACUUCGAAGGCAACGUGUCUCCCGCCCGCGGUGCUCUUUGCAUCGACCUCACCAUUGGCAGUAAGACCCUCCCCACUAAUUUUUUAUUAUUAAUGGCAAAGGGUCCUACAAUAUGUUACUCGGUCGCGAUUGGAUACACACAAAUUGCUGCGUCCCGUCCACAAUGCAUCAAUGCCUCGUACAAUGGGUCAGCGAUAACGUCAAAAUAGUCACCGCCGAUUCCGCUUACAGCAUUGCUGCGACCGACGCGCGACAAUGGAGCUGCGAACACGUCAAGUGCAUAUCCGGAAGGACUUGGGACACCGAUUUCCUGAAAGUGUCCGAUUUUGGCCUACAGCCGAUCUGAGCAGUCGACUCUGAAGAUUCAGAUUAAAUGGAUCAAUUCAUUCGAGAAGAUGGAAAGCUGGGGCACAGGUUUAUGUCAGCUGAUUCAUUAGAAAUGGUAGAUUUAAGUGAUGGCACCAAGCCAAGGCUGACGUACAUUAGUGCUAACUUGGAUCCAGAAUAUAAAUGUAAAUUGACAAAUUUAUUGAAAGAAUUUAAAAAUUGUUUUACUUGGGAAUAUCAUGAAAUGCCUGGUCUGGACCGGUCCAUUGUUGAACACCGGUUGCCCAUAAAGUUGGGGUAUCGGCCGUAUCAACAACCCGCACGACGGUGCAACCCUAAAAUUCUACCUGAUAUAAAGGCCGAGAUUACAAGGCUGAUUGAAGCAAAAUUUAUUCGGCAGUGCCGUUAUGCCGAGUGGAUCUCCAAUAUUGUGCCUGUAUACAAGAAAAACCGAAAGCUGCGCGUGUGCAUUGACUUUAGGAACCUUAAUCAGGCUACACCGAUGGACGGGUAUCCAAUGCCGACAGCCGAUGUGUUGAUAGAUGUCGCCGUAGGACAUAAAGUCAUCAGUUUUAUGGAUGGAAACGCCGGGUACAAUCAAAUAUUAAUGGCUGAAGAAGACAUUUCAAACGGCUUUCAGAUGCCCGGGCCACCUCGGUUUAUUCGAGUGGGUGGUAAUGACCUUUGGAUUGAAGAACGCCGGUGCUACAUAUCAACGGGCCAUGAAUUAUAUAUUUGACAAGCUUAUCGACGUACUGGUAGAGAUUUACAUCGACGACGUCGUGGUCAAGUCAAAAGGACACCAGGAACAUCUGGCCAAUCUGCGGGAAGUAUUGGAAUGCACGAGGAAGCAUGGGUUGAAAAUGAACCCGAACAAGUGCGCUUUCGGCGUAUCCGCUGGGCAAUUUUUGGGAUUCAUGGUUCAUGAGCGUGGGAUAGAGGUCAACCAGAAAAUCAUAGCGGCUAUUAAUAAAGUCGUGGCCCCACAGAAUAAAACCGAGCUACAGUCCUUGAUCGGCAAAGUCAAUUUCAUCAGAAGAUUCAUAUCCAACCUGUCCAGGCGUAUUCAAGCUUUCACACCUUUACUAAAGUUGAAACCCGACCAAGAGUUCAUGUGGGGAAAAGAACAACGCAGGGCACUGGAAGACAUCAAGUAGUACCUCAUCUCACCACCUGUGUUGGUCCCACCGCAGGUUGAUAAGUCGUUCAAGCUAUACUUAUCGGCCGAUGAACGAGCUAUUGGAUCGGCGCUGGUACAGGAAUUCGAAGGAAAGGAACGGGUGAUAUAUUAUGGUAGCAGAAGACUUCUAGACGCCAAAACAAGAUAUUUCCCGGUAGAGCAACUGUGCCUGUGUCUUUACUUCUCAUGCACCAAGCUCAGACACUACCUGUUAUCGGCAGAAUGCGUAGUUGUAUGCAAAGAUGACAUAGUAAAAUACAUGUUGUCGUGGCCAAUUUUGAAAGGACGAAUUGGAAAGUGGAUCUUGGCUUUGUCAGAGUUUGAUCUAAGAUAUGAAUCGGCCAAAGCCUUCAAAGGUCAAGUCAUGGCCGAUUUCGUCGCCCAGCACUGCGGACCAGAAGUUGCUGUCGUGGAGCCGGUUCCGUGGACUCUAUAUUUUGAUGGAUCAUCUUGCGGGGCCGGAUCAGGAAUCGGCAUCGUUCUAAUAACCAGGCGGAAUACCGAGCCGUCCUGAAAGGGAUACAAUUAUUGAGGGAGAUCAAGGCCGACGCUAUGGAAAUUUUUGGGGAUUCCAUGCUCAUCGUAGACCAAUUGACAGAAAGGUCCGAAUGCAAAGAUGAUGUUUUGAGAAUCUACUAUGAAGAUUGCCUCCGACUUUUGAAGGAAUUCAAGUCCGCAGUUAUUGAGCAUAUUCCCAGAAACUAUAAUGAGGAGGCUAAUAGGCUCGCUCAACACGCAUCCAGGUAUCGGCCAAUUCAAGGCGCCAUGACUCUGGAACUCGCAGCCGACGACUGGCGAAAAGAGAUCGCCGAUUACUUAAAGGACCCUUCCAAGAAAGUGGAUCGGCGGGUGCGUUUUCAAGCCACAAAAUAUGUACUACUAGAAGAUGAUUUAUUCUACCGAACAAUUGACGGAGUUUUGCUCAAAUGCCUAGGAACAGAGGAGGUGAAAAUCCUGAUGGGAGAGAUCCAUGAAGGGGUGUGCGAAGCCCAUCAAUCGGCCCAUAAGAUGAAGUGGAUGAUUAGGAUCAACGGAUAUUAUUGGCCAAAGGUUCUUGAAGAUUACUUCAAAUAUUAUAAAGGGUGCCAGGAUUGUCAGAAAUUUGGAAACGUGCAGCGUGCACCCGCAUCGGCCAUGAAUCCGAUAAUCAAGCCAUGGCCGUUCAGAGGUUGGGGAAUAGACCUCAUCGGACAAAUUUAUCCUCCAUCAAACAAGGGGCAUAAAUUCAUCGUAGUAGCCACGGACUAUUUCACCAAAUGGGUGGAGGCGAUUCCAUUAAAGGUCAUAACAUCGGCCGCUAUGGUCGAUUUCAUGAGAGACCACAUUGUCUACUGCUUCGGCAUCCCUGAAACUAUCACAACCGAUCAGGGGACGAUGUUCACUUCGGGAGAGUUCGAGGAGUUCACUGCCGAUAUGGGAAUCAAAUUACUAAAUUCUUCUCCAUAUUAUGCUCAAGCUAAUGGCCAGGCCGAAUCUUCCAAUAAGGGGAUAAUUAAGUUGAUCAAAAGGAAGAUUGAGGAACAGCCUAAAAAGUGGCACUUAUGUUUGAUCGAAGCUUUAUGGGCGUACAGGAUGGCCUGCCACGGGUCUACUAAGAUACCCCCUUAUCAACUAGUGUAUGGUCACGAAGCAGUGUUGCCGUGGGAAUUGUGAACGGGGUCGAGACGUACAUCGCUUCAGGAUCAGUUGGCGGCCGAUGACUACUCCUCGCUUAUGAAAAGGGAACUCAAUGAUCUGGCAGGUCAACAUUUGAGGGCCCUGAUCAGCAUUGAGGAAAAUAAGAAGAAGGUGACCAUGUGGUACGACAAGAAGGUUAAAGUCAAGCAAUUCUCUCAAGGGGAUCUGGUAUGGAAGUUGGUGUUGGGAUACGAGGUAGGCUACGCUAGCGCAAAUCAAAAUUUCUACCGCGUAAAACCAGGAAUAACUGCCGUAUAAGGAUCACGGGAUUACCACUCGACGCACUACUGGUGCGGAAAAUGUAGAUAUGCGUCGAUGCAGUGAAGACGAUCAUGUAGUCGUACGUAGUCGAUCAACGUAGUCGUACGUAGUCGAUCACGUCAACGUCUAGUAGCUUCUCAACAGCUCGUCCACGUGCAGCAAGAUCGCCCCAGGUGCCGCGGCUCGUCGUUGGCUCGUCGUGGCUCGUCGGUGGCUCGUCCAAGUGCUGCAGGCGCAACACCUCCAAGGUAUCCACAUGUGCAGGGAGGAAGCGUCGCAAGCUGGACUGCUAGAUCCGCGAGUUGCAACAGGCGAGGGCGUGGGAGGCGCGGCAGGUGUGUUUCGCCAAAAAGGUGUAAACCCUAGGGCACCCCACCCCUCUAUUUAUAGAGGUUCCUAACGGGCCUCUGGGUCCGAGGCCCAUUAGUACUUCUAAACCUAAUCCAACUCGGAUCAGAUCCGAAUUGGGCUUCCAGCCCCUUAAGUGUGUGACCCUAUGGGUUCGGAUACGUAUAGACAUGGCCCGAGUACUCCUACUCGGCCCAAUAGUCGGUAGCGGCCUCUAGCAAGACGUGCCAACUCCUAUACGCACACGAAGAUCAUAUCAGACGAACCAUCACAACAUGGUAUACAUGAUAUUCCCUUUGCCUCACGAUAUUUGGUCUAGCUUCAAGCCGACCGCUCUUUCUCGAUCCUGUGAUUCGGAAUCCCUUUGUAGGUUAACUCUUAACCGUACGUAGCAUGGCCAUGCAUUUUCGGAUCCGAUCACUCGAGGGGCCCAGAGAUAUCACUCUCAAUCAGAGAGGGGCAAAUCCCAUCUUGAUUGACCAUGUCUCAUAGCAUGCUUCUUGACAAACCCGAAAGCUACCUUUAUAACUACCCUGUUACGGCGUAGCGUUUGAUAGCCCCUAAGUAGGUCGAUCCACAUCUAGAAUACAUGCGACAAUCUCAGGUCUAAGGACAAAGCGUAUAUGUUGUUUAAAGAGAGAACUACUUCUCGUGUUGGGUCAGUCCUAGCACAUGUCUCCACAUGUGUCCACAUUAUUAGUUCAACAUCUCCAUGUCCAUGACUUGUGAAACAUAGUCAUCAACUAAUACAUGUGCUAGUCUAAUAUUCAUGUGUGUCCUCACAUGAACUCGGACUAGGGACAACUUUAGAAUAACCAUACAAGUAAAGAGUUUCACAUACAAUUCACAUAAUUGCAAAUCAAUUCAAGUAGCCUUCAAUAUAUAUUCAAUGAACACAACAUACAAAUCAUGGAUACAAAUGGAAUAUCAUCAUCUCUAUGAUUGCCUCUAGGGCAUACCUCCAUUAGUCUCCCACUUGCACUAGAGUCAAUCUAGAAGGUACCUAAUACCCAUAACUCUUACAUGCGCAUCAUGCUUAGCCUGCGGGAGUGGUUUUGUCAACGGAUCAGAAAUGUUGAGAUCCGUGUGUAUUUUGCAUAUCUUGAUCUCACCCCGGUUAACGAAGUCUCGAAUGAGAUGAAAUCGCCGCAUUACGUGUUUGUUCUUCUAAAAUUCCUUGAACUUUUCAAAGGUUUCAGACUUGUGCCUCAUCAAGUAGAAAUAGCCAUAUCUACUAAAAUCAUCAGUGAAAGUUAUGAAGUAUUGGAAUCCUCCUCUAGCCGUCGUGCUCAUUGGUCCGCAUACAUCACUAUGUACGAGUUCCAACAAGUCUACUGCUCUCUCAGGAAAUCCUGUGAAAGGCGUCUUGGUCAUCUUGCCUAGCAAGCAAGCCUCACAUGUCUUGUAUGAUUCAAAAUCAAACGAAGUUAGAAGUCCAUCAGAAUGGAGCUUCUUCAUGCGCUUUUCACUUAUAUGACCCAAACGACAAUGCCACAAGUAGGUAGGACUCAAAUCAUUAGGCCGAGGCCUUUUAGCACUUACAUUACAGACAGGUGAACCAUCAAGAUUUAAAAUAAAUAAUCCAUUCACAAUGGGUGCAAAAUCCAUAAACAUAUUAUUCUUAGAGAUCACACAACCAUUGUUUUCACUCGCAAAUGAAUAACCAUCCUUCAUCAAGCAUGAAGGAGACAAAAUAUUUCGACUUAAACUAGAAACGAAAUAANNNNNNNNNNNNNNNNNNNNNNNNNNNNNNNNNNNNNNNNNNNNNNNNNNNNNNNNNNNNNNNNNNNNNNNNNNNNNNNNNNNNNNNNNNNNNNNNNNNNNNNNNNNNNNNNNNNNNNNNNNNNNNNNNNNNNNNNNNNNNNNNNNNNNNNNNNNNNNNNNNNNNNNNNNNNNNNNNNNNNNNNNNNNNNNNNNNNNNNNNNNNNNNNNNNNNNNNNNGUCUAUACAUUAACAACAAGCGUACCUGAGGUAGAAGUACUCUUACUUCCGCCAUUCUUCAAGGAAGCUAGGUACUGCUUGCAGUUUCUCUUCCAGUGACCAAGUUCAUGACAGUAAAAGCACUCUUUGUCUGGAGCAGGUCCAUGUCCAGCUUUAACCUUGGGCGCUGGGUUUGGCUUGGACGUUCCAGCCUUGCCCUUCUUCUUCCAAGACUUGCCCUUCUUCUUAAAGCUGGGCUUAAUCUGUAUAGCCAUCACAUGGCUGGUACUAGCGCUUUUCUUGAUGUCAGCCUCUUCUGUUUUAAGCAUGCCACACAGCUCAUUCAGACCCUUCUCUGUCCCAUGCAUAUGGUAGUUCGAGAUGAAGUUCCCAUAGCUAGGCGGAAGAGACGAAAGAAUGAAAUCAGUGGCCAACUCUUAGCCCAGUGGGAAGCCUAGCUUCUCCAACCGUUGAGUGUAACCAACCAUCUUGAUUACGUGUGGUCCUACUGCUGCGCCUUCUGCUAGCUUGCUCUCAACAAAGGCCUUAGACACAUUGAACCUUUCGGUCCUAGCCUGUGUCUGGAACAUGUCCUUGAGCGCCACGAUCAUAUCGUGCGCCUCAUGAUUUGUUUUGAACUGCAUCUGCAGCUCGGGUUCCAUGCAAGCAAGCAUAAGGCAGCUUACCUCAAGAUUAGCAUCAAAUGCCUUCUUGUAAGCAGCCUUAACGGCAGCAGAUGCAUCAUCAGCAGGUACUGGUGGUAAUGGGGUGUCUAGAACAUCUUCCUUUUUAUCGGCCCUGAGAACAAUUCUCAGGUUACGGAUCCAAUCCGAGUAGUUUGUUCCAUUCAACUUGUCCUUCUCAAGGACCGAACGCAAAGCAAACGAUGUGGUGGUGUUGCUAGGUGCCAUUUAAUCUACAACAAAGUAAUGCAAAAUACACUAAGACAAACGUAUCCAUGAUAGAGCAAAUUACAUUAAACUAUUUUAACAGAAUCUACUCCCACUAAAAUCAAUAUCCCUCUAUUGAAACUUAGUGAUUCAGGAUCCACAACUAACAAGUCCACUAGUGAGCUUUAGCAUCACCGCUAGCAAACGAGGUAGAUCGGUAAGCAACUUUUGCUAAUCAUAUCACAUAUGACUCCUGUUGUUGGGUGACAUCUCCAUGUCUCGGCGCCCAACCUUUAUGCCCCAAGGUCCUUAACCGUUAAGAUAACCUUGUUAAGCAAACCAACCCUUAUGCGUGGAAGUGUCCGACACAAACCCGUCUAGUCAAGGAAAACUAGUGGCACCCUAAUUUCAUAGACCCACCACUAAUUGUACAAGACAUGGGACGGUGCAAGUUUUAGUUGGGAGGGCAUACUAACUUAAACUUUGUGAGGGAUCGUUCUACUUCUAACAUCACAGCAUGCAGAAAGUAAAACAUAAACAGAAUAGCAUUCACACAGUAUGGCCCGUUUUCAUAUGGUGAUCUCCAUCUCCAUAGAACCUGUUCACCAUGGUGAUCUCCAUCUCCAUGUUCCAUGUGCGCCAUCCUCCUGGUGAUGAGUCCUCCAAGAACUAGAGCAUGCUAUUACGCCUAAUAGCUAGUAAAGAAUCUAGUAAUGAAGAUUACAUAAUUGCUUGGAUCAUCACAGAUUGGUACGCAGACCAUUAAAUACAAUAAAGUGACAACACAUAUGGCUCCUGCCGUGUUGCCGUACGCGCGACACGCAGGUCACGAAUGAGUUACACACAUGCAUCACAUACACAAGGGGGCCAUACUGAUCACAAGAUACAAACAUACAUCCUGCAAAACAGAGUUAGGCGUCCUAACGUUCCAAACUUCGGAUGCCCGAAACUCCAUCUUCCAAGCCGAAUUUGGGAAAUCUAAUUUUGCCAAAAAUGGCGAAGCGGUUGAAUUUCAUGUGUAACUUUUUCUGUAGAUCAAUUUUCAUAUAAAAUUCGCCCCGAUCCGAGAUCGUACCGAAAAGUUACGGCUGAUUUACCGAAGCAUACGCAUACGGCAAAAAUCCCGACCCCGGCAGUAGAUCCCAUCUACUAUUGCACAUCUAAUGCGCCUGGCGUAUGACCCUGGAUUUCGAUUCGACCAAUAAUAUUGAUCUUCACUCACUGCAACUGGAUUUACGUAUAUCACUUAACUCCGAUGGCGGAAACCGACCGGUAGGAGUAUGUCGUUACACUACCAUUGCAGCAAGGGCAUGAAAACAGGACAUAGAUCAAACGGAAAACUCGCAUAUCUCCAUAUGCACACAUCCCGAAUCCAAAACUAAGCAGCUACGGCUCUGAUACCACUGUAGAGAUACGAGGUAGGCUACACUAGCGCAAUUCAAAAAUUCUACCGCGUAUAACCAGGAAGAACUGCCGUAUAAGGAUCACGGGAUUACCACUCGACGCCCCUUAAGUGUGUGACCCUAUGGGUUCGGAUACGUAUAGACAUGGCCCGAGUACUCCUACUCGGCCCAAUAGUCGGUAGCGGCCUCUAGCAAGACGUGCCAACUCCUAUACACACACGAAGAUCAUAUCAGACGAACCAUCACAACAUAAUAUACAUGCUAUUCCCUUUGCCUCAUGAUAUUUGGUCUAGCUUCAAGCCGACCGCUCUUUCUCGAUCCUGUGAUUCGGAAUCCCUUUGUAGGUUAACUCUUAACUGUACGUAGCAUGGCCAUGCAUUUUCGGAUUCGAUCACUCGAGGGGCCUAGAGAUAUCACUCUCAAUCAGAGAGGGGCAAAUCCCAUCUUGAUUGACCAUGUCUCAUAGCAUGCUUCUUGACAAACCCGAAAGCUACCUUUAUAACUACCCUGUUACGGCGUAGCGUUUGAUAGCCCCUAAGUAGGUUGAUCCACAUCUAGAAUACAUGCGACAAUCUCAGGUCUAAGGACAAAGCGUAUAUGUUGUUUAAAGAGAGAACUACUUCUCGUGUUGGGUCAGUCCUAGCACAUGUCUCCACAUGUGUCCACAUUAUUAGUUCAACAUCUCCAUGUCCAUGACUUGUGUCCAUGUCCAUACAAGUAAAGAGUUUCACAUACAAUUCACAUAAUUGCAAAUCAAUUCAAGUAGCCUUCAAUGGAUAUUCAAUGAACACAACAUACAAAUCAUGGAUACAAAUGGAAUAUCAUUAUCUCUAUGAUUGCCUCUAGGGCAUACCUCCAAUAGUUGGUGCUGCUGAUUGGGUCCAAAGACCCUAAGUUCGGUAAAUGGUCUCCCAUGUGGGAAGGGCCGUAUAGAAUCGGCCGAUGCGCUCCAGGAAACGCAUACAUUCUAGAGAUGAUCGAAAGAGAAGAGUUUACAAGGGCCUUGAACGGGAGGUACUUGAAGAGAUACUAUCCUAGUAUAUGGGUCGAUGCAUAAAAUGGUUGCGGAGUAUGCCAGGAUAAAACGGCUAGUUCCUGGAUAAUCAUGUAGUCGAUGCGAAGAACGAAAUCCCCUUGAGGAGAAAAGUAAUCGUUCAUGCUGGCCGAUUUAUUAUUCGGUACAGACGAUAAGGUACAUGGCCGACACAGUAGAAGUCGCCCUUAGAACAAAAAUACUCAACCACGCUUUUUCUUGAGUUCCCUUUCGAUCUGACCUAAUUCUAUCAGGAGGCGGGUGCUUCUUUCUUCCACAUCUUUCAUCACGGCUUCCGCCUCAACCUGGUGUGGAAGAGAAUGGCUCCAAUCCAGUGCUGGUCGAGACGUUCCUACCGCGGCAUCUUCAAGGGAGACCGGACGAGGGAGAGGGUGUCUCCUAUCGACUGGCGGCCACCUAAGGCAGUUGCCGUCAAUGUGAUCUCGGAUCUGCCGAACGUCGUCAGGGAUAUGAUCUCUAAGUUCUUCACGGUGGGCCCUGAUCAGGUGCUCAUCUUCCUGUGACAACGGUUCGUCGGAGUGCAUCAGUUCGAUCGCCCGUUCGAGUUUGGGGCUAAGGCAUCUCGGCUGGAAGAGAUUAACACAUAACUGCCCAAUAUCAGAUUAGUUAAAAGAUCAUAUCGGAGAAGGAGAGACAAAGAAAGAUCUCGUACCUGGUUGACAGAAGGAGAAGAAAAGGAGGAGGAUGAAGAGGUCAUCUUAGCAAGUAUCCCGAUGGAACAAAGUGACCAGAGAGGGAAAGGAUGAGCGAGGCAAGUGCCCUUGAGGGCGAUACCGAGGCUGAUACUUAUAGGAGGAAAAGGGGUGAAGGUAAGACGCGUCCCAUCAGAGUAAAAAGGUAAUAAAUGAAAGGCCGCCAUGAAGGACGGGUCAAGAUUGAGUUUGGGCAUCAAACGGUCAAAAGAUAUUAAUGUUCUUACAGAACGGCCAGUACUUUUACAGUUCAUCCGAGAAGGGCAUUAAUGGCCACAAUCGCUCAUCGCCUAAUUUGAUCGGCCGAGUCUAGAACCCGCUGGUCGUCGUCCGCCGAUCCUGGAACCUCUAGCAUGUGGCGAUGAAGUCUGAGGGCCUCAUGGGCCAAGUGCUGCCUCUCCUGCUUCAGAUCGGCGAUAACGGAGGGAAGAUCUUGGAGUCUUUUCUCUUCAAUGGCUAUCUCCUUGGUCACCUGCUCCAUCUCCUUGGCGAGUUCCGCCCUUCGGCGCUUGAGGAGAUCUAUAGUACCAAUAAUACCCAGGCGGGAAUUCUCAAGGAAAUGAAUCUGGUGGUGUACCUCUUGGGCUCGGUGCUUAUACGAGUCUUCCUCCUCACGGGCUUUGGCCUGCGUCGCGCGAUCGGCCAUGUGGCGCAGAGCCCUGAACACUGGGAUCCGCAUCGACUCAAUAUAUGCGGUGGGCGCCAUGGCUUCUUCCGCCUCUUCUGGAACUCGGCCGCUGACGUCACUGAAGAGCUAUCAAAUCGGCGAAGCGUCCUCCACCAAUCGGCCAAUGUCUUCUUGAAGAAGGGUCCGUAUGCUCUCAAGCUUGGCGCGGACGUCAUCAGGGACCAAGCUCAGGGUAACUUGACGAGAAGCAACCUCCUCGUCAUCAGAAAGCGCGACCGCAAAAGAAAAGAGGCUGUUAUUGGGAGUGUCCUAUUCCUGCAAAAAGAGUGAGUAUAAGGAAAAUGAGUUAGCCGACGGUGAUAGCGAAUCGGCCGAUUCAGAUAAUGGAUCUCUUACUUCUUUGAAGCGGAUUUCCUCUACUUGUGCCUGCGGGAGUGCUACCCUCGGUUUAGGAGCUGGUGCGGCUGGCUCAUCAGAAGAGGAGGAUUCAACGAUUAUUGGUGUUCUGCUCGGACCGGCCUCUUGGAGAGCCUCUCUGGCCGAUGGCUGUUCAGAAGGUACAAUUAACGGGCCAAUAGCCUGUAUCAAGAGCGGUCAGGCCAUUGCUUGAAUGUUAAAGAAUUGAAUUAAGAGAUCCUAUACCUCAGUGGGGGAAAGUACUGGUGCUCCAGUUUUUGCCUGGGGUGUUGCCGAUUGCUGUGGAGCCUUCGGGGCAGUUUGUGCGGCCUAAUAUAAGGAAGGAGUCAGCAUCGGGAGAAUAAUCAGGAGGAUUUAAAUACAAGUUUACCUGAAUGGCUUCUAGUAGCAAUGAUGCGGCGGCCGCUCCGGCUUCAGCUUGGGGGUCAACCUCCUCGAUGACCGGGAGAAUCGGCGCCGCCAAAGUUUCCGCUGAUGCAGCCAUUGAUGGAUCGGCCGAUUCCGUGUGGGCACGCACUCGGCGGCUUGUUUUCUUUUUGAUUUUCUUCGGCACCUGCUUCAAUCAGCCGGUGAUGUCAUCAACGGAGGGGGCAUGGUAGCCGAUAAGGGGGAACUCCUUGUACGGAUAACGGUCCUCUAUCGACCGACCGCUCCGGCUGCGUCUUGGAGGGACUCGACUCUCAGACUGAAAGAAAAAAACAAGAGUUAGUGGUAUAAAAAAGGAAAAGGCAUCAAAAUCAGCUGAGGAAGGAACAAUACCUCUACGUUCGGAUCAAUGUUGUCGGGGUCCAAGAUGUUGCAGUAUAUCGCCAGGGAGGCGCAGAAGAGAUGUUGUUUCCAUUCUGCCCACCAUAACUUCAACUGUUGGACAGCAAAAGGGGCCACUAUCCAAUUGGUCAAGUCGAUGGUGCUAGAAUCAGGAAUCCGGUCGUACAGCCGACUGUAAUCGAGACCUUUCGUGAGCUCAUCUUGGAACUUUGCACGGCCGGUGAAGAAAGCAUAAAUCGGCAGCUGGCCCAGGCCGAAUUGACGUGCCGUGACCGAUGGAUUAUAAAAUUCAUAAGUAGGGGCAUCCUUCCCCGAGAAUAAAUUCGUCGGUAAGAUCCCUGGCUUGAUCAAUUCAUCUGUGAGGUCGUCGUCAAAAGUGUUGGUCGUUGAGUCAAAGCAAGGGGGGAGCUCGAAGAGUGGUUCCGAUCUCUGGUACGGGAACUAGCUAGUUGUCUCUUCGCUGAAACCGUUGUAGAAGCAUCUAAAGUAUUCAGCUACCUUGGUGGCGGAGAACUAGCAACCGGAGAAAGCCGACGCUGCUUCGCCGAAGGAGGUACACCGACGCCGUACGGUGGGAUUUUCCAUCGAUUCGAUAUUGGGAAAGGUCAUGUGCUCCACCUGCUGCUGUGAGAUCUUGCUCAUGUACAGAUUGAGCCAUAGGUUAAUGAACCACCAGGGGCCACCUGGAUUUCCAAUCGGCACUCCCUUGGAUAACUUGACGCUGAUCUGAUGCAGCAUAUGAUAGGCCGAUCCUAGCACAUGUUUCCCGAGAGGAACAGAAGCUCCUAUCGACAAUGCUUCGGCCAGAGCCUGUGUGUUGGAAGAUGGACCAACUGCUCUGCUGCAGAAGAGGUGUUUCUCUAACCACAUCAUUAAGAAGGCCGCGUGCUCCUUCUCUGUGACUAUCCCGGUCCUCUGGUUGCUCUUAAUGAACCCUUUCCACCCGUCGAUUCCUUUUGUUUCAGCCGAUGGGUCAGCUUGACCAAGUAGCGAAAAGGGGUGUCAGGAGAGGAGAUGUCAAGGCCGGUCAACAUUACGACAUCGGCCAGAGUGGGGGUCAUGGGCCCAUGUCCGAAAAGAAAGGCGUUGAGAGCAUCGGACCAAAAAUAGGAAGCUGCUAUCACUAAAGGCUCGUUCCUUUCCAUCUGGGACAAGGACAGGUCGAUACACUGGCCGAUUUUUCGCUCAUCCCAUUGAACUCAGAGUUGGCUAUCCGUUAAUACCACUCUUUCCAACCAGGGGUCUCAUUCGGCCAUGAUCUGAAAGUGCCUGACCAAUGAUCUAAGUCCAUGGUCGAUUGCUUAAAUGGAAUUCUAUGGGUUUCCAAGUUGAUUAGAUCAGUUGGAUCUAGGUUUCCCAUAGGGCCGAGAUAGAUGAGACCGGGGGUUUCGGUAAGGUGAAUGGUGAUUUGGUGCCUAACCUCCUUAAAAAAGGUAAAAAGGGAAGAAGUAAGAAUGGAUCUAAAACAGGUGCCUGGGCGGUGAAAAGUAAAAGGAAAGCUUUUGGUAAAUACCUCCGGGAUGAAGCUCAUCGUGAUUGGCGGAAUCGCCGGAGGAGCUACAGUUGCCGAGGCCAUCGGUGGGACCUCUGUCGCCGAUGAGGCUCCUGCUACCACCGAUGGAGCUGUCACCGCCGCCGCUGUAGCCGCUCCCGCUGGAGCCACCACCGGAGUCUGUGGUGUUGGUGGAGUUCCUGAUGGUGUCUCCAUUGGGGAGAUGGUGUGGAAUGCGGAUGAAAAGGAGUCGCUAGAGGAGGAGAUCAGAAGCUGAAGGGGUGCCGGGGGAAGAAGGAAACUAGUGCGCUAAAGAAGGAAGACGUGGGCUUGUGAAAAAGAAUUACAGGACAUGCUGGUAUUUAAGGACGGUCCGAGAAGGGGUAAAGGCGGGAUUUUACCGCGCCAUCUACAUGAUUUUUGGGGGAGUGGUUGUCUCAGGGGCUUGUUUCAAAAAGAUUGCAAUCAUCAAGCAGGAGACCGCGAAAUGGAAAGGUAUUUUCAAUGCAUUUGUUUCGGAAAGGAAGUUGAAGAGAAUUUCGAAGUAAAGAGUAUGUUUUACUCCGAAACUGGGGGCCAUGUGUUGACGCCGGAUUUUGACACGUAUGCAAUCGGCGUCAAAAAGGGGAAAGGAUUAGCUGAUGCAGCGGGUUGAAAAAGUCACGAUUGGGAAUCGAUCGAUUGGUGCUACAGUUGGAGAUCGGCCGAUUGACGCUGCAGUGUUUUGGCGGACGGAGUUGGUAGGAAUCGGCUGAUUAAGAGGCUGGAGCAAUUGGGCCAAUAUGGGCUUAAAGUGAGUCGCAAAAGAGAAGAUGAGGGGGGAUUGGCCCGCAGGAGGGCAACAACCAACUCCAAUAUGAAUUGUACUUGUAAAUAUUUGUUUUCGUUUAAAAUUAGAGAUAGAUCCUAGUCGGUUAAGAAGUUGGUUGUAACAGGCUAUAAAUAGCCACCUUUAGACGUUUUAUCCUUGCCAAUCAACAGGUCAGAUUGGCUGGCACGCCGUGCGAACCGCACCAAGGUGAUUACCCGAACAGGAGAUAAGCAGAUUCUCCCGGGUCGUGUGUCCGACGCUGAGAGUCAAUCGGCUGACUUUUAGCGCCAACAAUUUGUUUUAGACACAGAAGGAUCACGUCUUUAUUGUAGGACUUAGGAUUGUUCUAAGCAAAGAUUUUCCUGGAAGUGAUCAUGAUGUUCAAUCAAGGUUCAUGGAUGCAAUGACUUUGGUUGCACGGUACGACAAGCCUGAUUAUUUCAUGACGAUGACAUGCAAUCCUUAUUGGGAUGAAAUAAUGGUAGAAUUGUUGCCUAGGCAAACGCCACAGGACCAUCCUAUAUUGUUGCCAGAGUGUACCAUGCUACACUAUUAGAUCUCCAUGAUUUCUUGAUCAAGAAGGGGCAUCUCGACACGUGGCAGCAUGGGCACAUGUAACAGAGUUCCAGAAGAGGGGUCUGCCACACGAGCACUUUUUGUUGGUUAUGGAGGCUGGAAGCAAGUUAAAGAGCCCUGAUGAUUACGAUAGGUACAUAUUAGCAGAAAUUACUAACCCCAAUAAAUAUCCUCAGUUGCACCAGCUUGUUGUCAAGUAUAUGAUGCAUAGUCCUUGUGGUACUCUUAAUAAAUAUUGUCCAUGCAUGGUCAAGGGUUAGUGUCAUUUCCGCUAUCCUCGGCAGUUCAAUGAAACGACGCAACAAGACAAGGACACAUAUCCAAUAUAUAGAAGAAGGGAUGAUGGGAAGAAAGUGAAGGUUAGAGGGAAGGAAUUGGAUAAUAUGUGGGUGGUGCCUUAUAAUCUAGUGCUCCUUAUGAGGUAUAACUGCCAUAUCAAUAUUGAGAUUUGUAGCAGCAUCAAGUCAGUUAAAUAUCUCUACAAAUACAUAUAUAAAGGUCAUGAUCGGGCAUCAUUUACCAUUGAUGCAAAAGGAAAUGAGCACAUGGUAAUCAAUGAGAUCAAGCAAUACCGUGAUGCAAGAAUGAUUACAGCUAUAGAAGAAGUCUACAGGUUGUUUGGUUUUAAGUUGUAUUCAAUGUGGCCACCUGCCUUGUAGAUGCAAGUACACCUUCCUGAUUUGCCCAUGGUUGCCUACAAGUCAACAAACAACCUGAAAGAUGUUCUGCUGUGUCAAAAAUCCCAGAGGCCAAUGCUAACUGAGUACUUCAAGAUGAAUGCAACUAAUCCUAACGCCCACCAGUACCAGUACAAGGAGUUUGCAGAGUACUUCACGUGGAACAAGUCUGGAAAAUAUUGGAAACCCAGAUUUGCAAAAAAAACAGACUUCAGAUUAGUAGAUUGGUGUAGGUAAAUCCCUUUGAAGGUGAUAGAUACUACCUUCAGGUGCUGUUGAACCUUGUGAGGGGUGCAACCUCAUAUGAGAACCUCAAAACAUGGCAUGGUAUUACAAAUGAGACUUUUAGAGCAGCUACUGAAGCUAUGGGGUUUGUAGAUACUAAUAAGUCAUUAGGUCAGUGUCUGAUUGAAUGUGCCAUGGUCAGGUUUCCUUCUUCUCUCUGUAGGAUUUUUGCCACUAUUAUGGUUUUCUACGAGUGCACCAAUAUAUGCCAUCUUUGGGACAAGCAUUAUGAAUCAUUGGCUGAGGAUUUCCAGUGUGCUAAUGACAACAACACUAUGGUUGAGUAGAUGGUGCUCCGUGAUAUUUCUUACCAUCUGACGUCCACGGGAAAAGACAUCAGGCAUUAUGGUCUUCUAGAACUACAUGAGUCAGGUUAGUUUGAUCUAAAUUUUGUAUGGAAAAAACUUAAUUUUACCCCACUAAAUUUUGCAUAUCAUUUGUAUAAUUGGUAAUAAUGUUGAUAAGUUUCCUUAUUUUGUGCAGACAAUCAAUGCUCUAGAGACCAUUAAGGGAGGUUAUAGAGGAGCAGAAUCUUGAUUAUGAAGAGACACUUGGAGAUCAUAGAUAUGCUUAAUGCAGAAUAAAGGGCAAGUUUUGAGGAGAUACUUGACCAUGUUAUCAAGGGCAAGGGACAGAUUUUCUUUGUUGAUAGUCCCGGCGGCACCAGUAAGACCUAUCUAUAUAAAGCAUUGCUUGUAAAGGUGCACUCUAUGGAUCUAAUCGCCAUUGCUACAGCAACAUCCGGUAUAGCAGCAUCCAUUAUGCCUGGUGGACGCACUGCCCACUCCCGAUUCAAGAUUCCAAUCAAGUUAAGUGAAAACACUAUGUGUAGUUUUACAAAGCAAAGUGGGACAACCGAAUUGCUUAGGAGAGCAUCUAUGAUAAUUUGGGAUAGGGUAGCAAUGACUAAGAGAUAGACAGUUGAGGCACUAGAUAGGACACUGCAAGAUGUAACGGAGUGUACACAACCAUUUGGUGGUAAGGUAAUGUUGGUUGGAGGUGACUUUAGAGAGGUUCUUCCUGUUGUGGCCCAUGGUACAAGAGCACAGAUCACUAAUGUUACUUUGCUCAGGUCAUACAUAUGGCAAAGUGUUCGGCGCAUCCGACUGACCCAGAACAUGAGAGCACAAUCUGACACGUGGUUUGCAGAUUAUCUACUAAGGAUCGAUAAUGGCACUGAGGAAACAUUUGGUGAUGACUAUGUGCAGUUGCCUGAUGAAAUUUUGAUUGAUAGCCCUUCAUAAGACAUCUGUAUUGAUAUACUCACUAGCCACGUAUUCCCGAACCUUCAUGUUAAUUGUACAUCUAGAGCUACAUGCGUGAGCGUGCUAUCCUUUCCACUAGGAAUGAGCAUGUGGAUGCAGUGAAUGCAUUGAUGAUUGAUAGGUUCCCCGGCAGUAAACAGGUGUGCUACAACUUUGACUCAGUAGAGGAUGGCCCAUGGAAUAAUUAUCCUUUGGAUUUUCUCAAUUCAAUCACACCAAAUGGGUUGCCUCCACACGAGCUGACGAUAAAGAAGAACUGCCCUGUUAUCCUACUCCGUAAUCUUGAUCCUCACAAUGGCCUCUGUAAGGGCACCCGAUCGAUCGUGAGAGGAUUACAGAAAAACUAUAUCGAUAAUAUGAUUGUUAAUGGCCAGCAUGCAGGGAAAAGGGUAUUCAUACCAGGAUACCAAGGAUACUAAUGUCACCUUCUAAAGAUCUAUCUCUUCCCUUCAAGUUCAAGCGCAAGCAGUUUUCCAUUCGCUUAAGCUUCGCUAUGACCAUUAACAAAGCGCAGGGUCAGACAAUACCAAAUGUAGGUAUCUACCUCCCCGAGCCUAUUUUUUCACAUGGGCAGCUGUAUGUGGCUCUACCUAGAGGUGUUUCUCAUAAGACAACAUGGGCUCUUGCUAGAAAAAAUAAGGAUAUGGAUCCCACUGGAAACGGCACAAAGAACAUUGUCUACAGAUAUGUCUUGGAGUCACGAGGCAUACCAAUUCUAUUUUCACAGUUGAUAAUUUAUUAUGUUGUACAUGUAUAGAUAUCUCUGUUCUCAUGUCCUUUAGAAUAACCGUAUAUAUUGUCCUGCAGUUUAUAUAUGCUUCAGGAUUGUGAACUGCUUGUGGUAAAAAGUCUAGGAAAUGCAUGAGACAAUUUAGUGUGCAUACAUCUCUAUAAAAAGGUUUCUAGGAGUGUCAGGGGAUGGGUUAUAUAUGAGAGGAAAUAUUUGUGUUGUAUUUUCUAGCUGAGCUACAAACAAGCUUCUGCUUAAUCAUUAUUGCUCAACGACAAGUUUCUGAUUGUUUGAAAAUUUCCCAUAUUUCUAUCGUAAUAUGGCCCUGUUUGGUUCCUCUUGCUAAAGUUUAGUUGCUAAAAGUUGCUAAACUUUAGUUGAUAAAGUUUAGCCAAGGCUGUUUGGUUCCCUUUGCUAAUUCAAUGAGAAGGAUAAAGACUUGUUUGCCCCUUCUUUUCUCCCUCCUCCCAUCUUUUUCUCCCUCCUCCCUGGUUCCCUCCUCCCUGGUUCAACCGCCAGGGUCGUUGGCGCCAGUUUCCUGAAGAUUGCGCCAGGGGAGUUAGCGCCAUUUCUUCCUGGCGCCAUGUGCCAUUUCUACCUUGCGCCAAGGAACAAAAUGGCUUGCCACGGUGCUGGCAGCCAUUUAUUUUUUAUUGAAGCCAAAAAUUGUUGUGCAUCCCAAAAAUUACAUUGUUACAAAAAAAAUAAAGGUACCUAUGACCUAUUGAACAAUCCAUCGGCUAUCCAAUCUUGAAACUAGUUCAUGCUUUGAUCUUCAUCUCCAUGUUGGGUAGUACCUUCAUUUGCUUGAGAUGAUGCUCCUUCUGAAGGUGUAGCAUAGUUUUCUUCAUGAUCCGCACUCUCAAAAUCAACAUCAGCAAUAGCACUCUCUCUAAUGAAAUUAUGAAUUGCCAUGCAAGCAAUAAUUAUUUGACUUUGCUUUGCCAUUGGAUAAGCUGGUAAAUCGCGCAAAAUAUGCCAUUUGUUCUUCAAAACUCCAAAAGACCUCUCGAUGACAUUUCUUAAUGAUGAAUGUGCAUAAUUGAACUGCUCCUUUUUACCUCUUGGAAGUGGUCCGGCUCGGAAUUCUGGUAGAUGAUAUUUCGUACCCUUGUAUGGGGCAAGAUACCUAGGUGGGUUUGUGUAUCCAGAGUCCACAAGAUAAAACUUUCCUGCACAUCAAUAGUACCCAUGUUAUAUAUAUGCAGAAACAUUCGUACUACACGAAGAAUUGUAUCAUAGAAGAUGUAAGUACCUUCGGGGGGAUGUGGAAAUUUGUCGCCAUACUUGUUCAAUGCAUCUUUGAAGACUCUCAUAUCAUGAACCGAUCCAGGCCAUCCCGCAAUGAUAAAAGUAAAUCUCAUGUCGAAGUCACAUAUGGCUAACACAAUCUGGCUAGUGUACCCAUGUCGUCCCGUAUGUUGGACAACCUUCUCUGCUAGUACAACAACAGGCACGUGUGUCCCAUCUAUAGCUCCAAUGCAAUUGUCAAAGUAUGGAGAGAAUCGUGGAGAUUUCAACUUCUGAUGCACAGUACUAAAUGUUGUGUCAACUAGUCUAAUGAUAUCCCCUGCUAGCUUGGAAAUACUGUGCAAUACUUUAUCGAACUUCCUACUACAUGUCCAAGUUGACCUAACAAAACGAUCUUCGGCUUGCCUCAUGCUUUGAGGGGCACCACACAUCUAUAGGAAUAAAGCUAAAGACUCUACUGAUAUCAUUCUCCUUGUAGACUUUAAUCCAUAAGAUUGGACAAGGAGAUUAUGAAGCCUAUCAAAUAUGUCCCUAUUCAUCCUGAACAUGUUGUAGCAAGAUGAUCUAUUUCCUAAAGUUUUGAUAACCCAUUCAUAUCCAGAUUAUGUAGGCACCCCAUAUUGUGAUCUGUUCAAGUAUGUGUCAUAAUAGUACAUACCGAGCAAAGCACCAACGGCAACAAGUUCUCUUCUUAUCCUUUUCCUCUUAACCAGCCAGUCAUCAACAUAAUCAAACAAGUCAACCUGUACACACAUUGAAAUGCCAUGGAUCAGCCAUGAAAUAGUUCUCAACAAGGCAGGAAAUCAUAUCUCACAUGACAAUCAAAUAGUCCACAGAAGAUAGUAAAUCAGUUCUCACACAACAACUAAAUAGUCCACACAUGACAGAAACAUAGUUCACACAAAUUUCUUAAAUAGUUCUAACUAUCUAAUGACAGAGGCAACACUUCAUGACAGCUACUUGUUGUUGCCUACACUUCAUGACCUACCAAAGUACUUCCCACACUUAAUUUGCAACCAUUUCAACCUUGCUUCUUUUGUCUUCAAUGUGCCAAAAGCUAUUCUGUUUAGUCUAAUGGUAAACAACUCCAUAGCAACAAAGUACUCUUCUGACUCUUCUGAUGCUCCACACUCCUGUGCCAUAACAAGGCUUUCUUUGAACUCCUCUUUUUCUUUAUCCUAAGAAUGCCUUCUAAAUUCCAACUUGGUAUUGUUAUCUUCAGAGCUGCUAGCUUGCAUAGUGUCUAUGAGGCCCUUGAACAUGCUAAAAAAUGGACUUUUACUCUUCUUUGGAGGGCUUGAUGCUGUAUCAUUUGUACUGGUACUCCUUUUUCGGCUGCCAUUACUCAUAGGGCUCUCUUGAGGGUAGUCGUCCUCAUCCACCGGUAAGUCAUCUUCAUCAGGGAACCCCUUAUCCUCAUCCACAUCUCCAGCUAUGGUAGAUGUUGAUCCAUCAACAACCUUUUUGUGGAACAUCUCAUGCAAUAGCUCAACAUAGUGAGGUAUGAAUCUACUAAAUUUACUGCAUUCUGGCAACUGCAAUCCAAUGACAGAGGAAUUCAGAAACUAUGUACCUUGGAACAAAAAAAAGUAAACAGCACAAACAAAAAAAAAACUAUGUACCUUGCUGUUAUAUUUCCACCAUUUCUUCGAAGCUCAAAUUGCUCCAUUACUUUUCUACCUAAACCUGAUUGUUUCAUCGCCAAAUUGUAAAAUUCAUAUAAUUUCCUGCAUUGUGUCCACCUAUUUCUGAAUUGCUUGAUUUCAUGCUUGAGGUUAGUCCUUUCCUUGAAUUUUGCAGCUAUUUCCUUGAAACCUCUAGAAUUCACCACCCCACCUGUUGCAUUGCCUAAACGGAUUUGUUCCACAGAUAAUUCACAAAAAAUGCCUGUGUUUUUUUCGCUGCAGUUUGCUUUGUCAUAUUUGUUCUAACACAAAAUGCAAAACAUAAAUACUCUAACAAAACAAGAGAUCCACACUACUCUAGGAGGACAGGACGCUUACAUAAGGUUCGUCCCCAGUUUUGUCGCCUAAUUCUUCAACAUCCUCUUUGUUCAUGGAUGAUGAAAAGGCGGCAGGGGCUGGGCCUCGUCCCAACUGUCGGGGAUACAUCCCCAGUACCCGCAAGGAAGGAAGAAGUCAGACUCCUACUAGGAUUCCCCUGUAAUCUGACUAGGACUAGUCCCGUGUACUCCUACUAGGACUCCUCCUUGUAAUCCGACUAGUACUCUGCCCCCUGGAGUACAUAAAGGAGGGCAGCGGCAGGUCAUACCUCAACACCCAAGCCCAGGACACCCAAGAACAACUCCAGAUCAUCAAUCCCCAACAUCAAUACAAACCAACACACAGGACGUAGGGUAUUACGCGAUCUAGUGACCCGAACCUGUCUAAAUCGUGUUCCUUGCGUCACCAUUGAUUCCUUGAUUCUCGAGGACCCUUACCGCAUAAAAGACCACCUAGGGUACCCCUAGGCGGGUUGCCGGUCUAAAACACCGACAGCUGGCGCGCCAAGUAGGGGAGCUCGUCGAGUUUCUCAGCAUGAACUCAAUGGCGAAAGUCAUCAUCAGGCCCGUCUUCUUCAUCGAAGUCGGCGCCACCUUCGUUUUUGGAUCCUGGCUCUGCAUCGCAGACGGCACCGGAUUGUUCCAGCGCCAGAUCGUCAACUUCGACGGCGACCUCGAGUUCCACCGCGAUUCGAACUCGAACUCCAACGGUGACUCCAGGUCCGACUACAACUUGGAGACGGCGACUCUGGGUCCGACUACGACUCGAAGUCCGACAGCGACUCUGAGUUUGACUACAACUCGAAAGUCCGACUACAUCGCAAGCUCGCCGACGACUACGGGCGGCUCGCUGAUGAUUUCAUCGACUAUGUCGUAGGCACACCGACUACUUCAGCCAAGCAUGGUCUAUGCUCAAAACGCACCCUUGUCUCGGGGUCUUGGAUAAGUCCGACCAUCUAAGCCAGGGGUCGGGCGAUUCGAAGCCUUGCGGCAAGGUGUCGGGCGCAUCCGACCCUGGGACCAAGGGUCGGGCGAGGCAGAGUUCCACCCUCAAAGGGUCGGGCGUAUCCGACCCCGGGACCUUGGGUCGGGCGAGACAGAAUGAACUACUCCUCGCCCGCGUCAAGACAACCACGGUCAGCUUGCCGACCACUCCGUCAACUCGGGCAGCUCGUUGACAACUUCAACUAUGUUGCGAGCUCGCCGGCGACUACGGGCGGCUCAGCAACAACUUCGACUACUCCCCUCGACUACUUCGCUCGACAACACGCUGAUGACUACUACGUCAUGACACUCGCCGACGAUUUCUCCUAGUACGUCGCGGCGCUCGCCGACUACUACGGGCGGCUCGCCGACGACUACUCCGACCACAUCGCGACGCCCGCUGACGACUACUACUCGUCUCGACUACAAGUCUAGUCGAGGGCGGACUACCCCAACUCUUCGUCUCAACUAAAAAAUUAGUCGGGGGAAACUUCGCGUCGUCGACAACUAGUCAGAAUUGCCUCCGACUAGUCGACUUCGUCAACAACCAUUACGACUUCAUCAACGACCGUCACGGCUUCAUCAACAAUCAUCCACGAAUAAAGCUAAGUCACUUUUCUAAAUUAUUUUCUGGCUUAUUUUCCAUUUGCGCGCAACACGCGCUCUACUCGCCGGAAACUCUUGCACGCAACGCGCGCUCUAUUCGCCGGAGGGUAGCAAACUCUUUCGCGCUACCGCGCUCUCUUUUUUUCGCAACAACGAAUAUUCCCUCUUGUCUUCUCUUGAGGUCACUACUCUUCUCGAGUAGAACACGCCUUAACUCGUGAAAGCCUUAGGCGCAUCUGUCACGCCUAAGCCCAUACGCGUAUACGAGGCCGAUCUCACACACACAGCGGCAACGGCUACCCAGAGACUGAGAGCCUAAGCGUAACAGGCUAACUACUCGGGAAGAGUAUGACUAAAACAAGAGCUUGACUCGCAAUCAUGUAGUCUCUUUCUUAUCGCAGCAACGCCUCCUCUCACUUUUGUCUUCUCUUAAGGUCACUACUCUUCUCGAGUAGUACAUGCCUUAACUCGUGAAAGCCUCAAGCGCAUCUGUCACGCCUAAGCCCAUACGCGUAUACGAGGCCGAUCUCACACACGCAGCGACAACGGCUACCCAGAGACUGAGAGCCUAAGCGUAACAGGCUAACUACUCGGGAAGAGUAUGGCCGGAAUAAGAGCAUGACACAACUUUCAUACCGAUCACUGAAUAAAUUUCAGCAGUUUAAAAAUUCUACAAAUAUGCUACAUAAUGUACGCAUUUUUUCUUUCAGGUCAAGCUUUGGCGACGACGCUCGUCGCAACACCCACUAAGCAUGCCUCCAACGGCACAGGCUAGUUCCUAAACUCGGGAGCUACGCGCCAAUCAGUACUCCUAAUAUCUCCAAUGGCUCAGCUAGCUCCCAGGCUCGGGGGCUGGACGCCGCAAAACCACUCGAUGUGACUCCAACGACUUACCUGACGCAUAAGCAUAGGGCUGGACGCCGCAAGACUACUCGAAUGAUGACCUGAGUAAAGAUUCAAGACCCUCGGGUUGAUUAUUCAAUCAAUCCAAGGCUCGGGGGCUGAUAAGCUACACCUAACAAUCGAUUUUUUCAAGUCGAAAGAGGAAGAUUCAAGAUUUUGACCCUCAGCCUGAUUCUACGAUUCAACCUAAGGCUCGGGGGCUACUCCAUAUGGAGUGCGACUUUCGCCGCCCUGCAUACACGAAGACUACAAUAUCAUGUUGAUCAAGACUUUGAGCACACCAUAGCCUCAUGGCAGCUUUGAGAAGCAUUGAAAGAUUCAGCCUGAUAAAGUACUCGAAGAGCACCAAGACUACUCGACGAAUAUCUCAAGACUACUUCAAGACUGCUGCAUUCGACUAUGAAGCGCUCAGGGGCUUGUCGGGGAUACAUCCCCAGUACCCGCAAGGAAGGAAGAAGUCAGACUCCUACUAGGAUUCCCCUGUAAUCCGACUAGGACUAGUCCCGUGUACUCCUACUAGGACUCCUCCUUGUAAUCCGACUAGUACUCUGCCCCCUGGAGUAUAUAAAGGAGGGCAGGGGUACCUAGCUCGGCAGGUCAUACCUCAACACCCAAGCCCAGGACACCCAAGAACAACUCCAGAUCAUCAAUCCCCAACAUCAAUACAAACCAACACACAGGACGUAGGGUAUUACGCGAUCUAGCGGCCCGAACCUGUCUAAAUCGUGUUCCUUGUGUCACCAUUGAUUCCUUGAUUCUCGACGACCCUUACCGCAUAAAAGACCACCUAGGGUACCCCUAGGCGGGUUGCCGGUCUAAAACACCGACACCAACCUCCCCCGAAUAGGUUGCUGGAUAGGAGGACUAGCAUCUGAAAUGUAAGAGGAGAAACAAUCAGAACCAGCAACGACAAAUCACCAAGAACAAACACCAAGAUGAACCAAGUCAACACAAAAAAAGAGGUAAACCUGCAGGUGGCGAAAGUGAAGCAGUAGCACUCCUUCCAUGGCCACGGCGACCAUCACGUGCGGUGACACCCCUUCCCCGGCUGAUGGAAACACCACCAUCGCUCUGACGGGGAGGUUGAAACGAGCCGAGAUGACCACCAUCGCCACAUCCUCUUCCAGACUCCAGAAUAUUGGAGUACUCAUCAAGGUAGGGGAAUGCCUCAUCCUGGGAGUUGAGGUCAAGAUCCUACAUGUUAACCCUCCCAAUCGAGAGAGAUGGAGCCGCCCGAGCGCGUGACGGGCCUUGGGACAGGAACUCCAAGUCGUCUAGAUUGGGUAUGGCAGCAGGAUUAGGGAAAGAAGGGGCCGCCAAGGAUGAAGCACCCUGCGAUAACCAAUCACGGUAUCCAUCCAUCUGCUCGGAGCGGUUGCGGUGGGGAUGGGGCAAGGGGAGGUGGCAGCGGUGAUGGGGAUGGUGCAGGGGGACGUUGGUGGCUGCGGUGGGGAUGGGGCUGGUGUUAUUUGCGCCGGCAAUGGAGAUGGAAUAGGGAGAGGCACCGAUGGGGAUGAGGAUGGAGAAGAGGCUGUUGGCGGCGGCGAUAAGAAUGGAUCCGGGGGUUGCGGCGGCGAGGAUGGCGGAUCCGGGGUGUGGCAGCGGGACAGAUUCGGGGUGGAGGUGGGGGGAGGGGGAAUAUGGGAUGUGGAGAUGGGGAUGAAUCCAAGACCUGCGGCGGAUGGGGUGCAAGCACCGGCGGCGGGGCUGGACUACAGGAGCCGGCGGCGGUGGAUGUGUCAAGCGGCGGCGGUGGAUGCGUGGUGGCGGCGGCGGUGGAUGCGAGGAGCAGAGGAGUGCGAGUGCGAGUGCGAAUGUGGGAGGGGUAGGGAGGAAUAGAGGAUGCGGGUGGGGUGCGAGUGCGUCAGACGCGGGUGGGGUGCGAGUGCGGGAGUGCGGGUGCGCACCAGACAACAAUAAAUGAGGGGUAUAGGGUGUCCAGCUCCACCUUUUAGCAAGUUUAGCAACCAAAAUCUUGCUAAAGUGCUAAACUUUAGCAACUAAACUUUAGCAAGUUUUAGCAAGGGUGUUUGGCAGUUUAGCAGCUAAAAGUUGCUAAACUUUAGGUGGAACCAAACACCACCUAUGCCGAUCAUCCCAUGAGAACAUUAUUGCUUACUUGGAUUCCUAUAAUAACGGUUUAUCUUAUUUUAUUUAUAAAAUUAUUUAUCAUGUUUUAAUUAUGCACGUGCCGAGCACAUCCACUUGUGUUCCGAAGGAACCCUUACUGUAAAUUUGAUUUCCGCAGCAAGCAUGACCCUUACACGAACGGGACGCUAAAGCCUAAAUGAUUUUGUUGGCCCGUAUGUUCCGGAUCCGAAAUUAGGUACGGAGCAUCCGCUUUGUGCGUCCCCACCGUCCCCCUUCCCUAAUGUUUGAAUGUUUGAACACUGAUUAGAAGUAUUAAACAUAGGCUAAUUACAAAACCUAUUUCACAACCCCUAGGCUAAAUCGCGAGACGAAUCCAUUAAGCCUAAUUAGCCCAUGAUUUGACAAUAUGAUGCUACAGUAAACAUUCGCUAAUGAUGGAUUAAUUAGGCUUAAUAGAUUCGUCUCGCGAUUUAGCCUAGGGGUUCCGCAAUUAGUUUUGUAAUUAGCUCAUGUUUAGUCCUCCUAAUUAGCAUCCGAAUAUCCGAUUUGACUCGGCCUAAAUUUUAGCUCCAGGAUCCAAACACCCCCUUAUCUCUUUCCAACACCAAAACCACCAUUUUCCCUUUUUUUUCCCUCUUCGUCACCAUCACGGCAGCACCACUGCUACGAACCCUAUAUAGCUCGGCUCCGCCAUCCCUCCCCUACGGGCUACGGCCCCCUACCGGCCAGAGUUCAUCUCCACAGCCAGACUUCUCCGUUCGUGCUCUCAACAGCUCUCUCUUCUCUCCUCCGACGAUUCGUGCUCGUCCAACUCUGGUCGGUGGUGGUAGACGGCUGGCGACAAGGUGGGUCCUCCUCCUGCUCCUGCUCCCCAUUCCUCUCUCGGAUCGAGGCAUGGUGGUGGCUGGGUUAGGGUUUCCGGUUCGGGGUCGUCGGGGGAGGGCUCCAUGGCCGGCGGGCUUAGAGUGUCUGGCGGCGGCAGUAGUCACGGCGGCGGUGGCGGAUCGAGGGUGGCGAGGUGACGUGCUGCGGGCGGCGGGCGGCGUACGACAACCGGCGGGAAGGGCCGACGGUGGGGGCGAGCGGCUUCCUCAGUUAGCUAAUGGCGGGGUGGAGGGCGGCUUGUGGGUGGCGCGGCCAGCGGCGCCAUUGCCGGCGGUAGCAGGGGCAGUCCAGUUCAUUGAACCUGGACUGUGGAUGCCGUCGCCCCAAAUCUUGCAUGUGCAAGAGUUAGUAAAGUCCUUGAUUUAUUUACAUGUCGAAGCUGCGCAUCAUGGCGGGCACGCCUUUCUCCUUCACCUUUUUGUCAUGUGAUGAUUUAUUUUAGCAACAGGAAAAUAUGAAUUAACUGAUUUGUUUUUCAAAUCGAAAAGGUUUGGUUCGUUUAGCUCUUGGAUCCUGGUUUGUGUUGAAUUAAUGAAUUAUAUUAUGACUUUGCUACCUUUUUAUAGGAGGUACCAUCUUAAUGUUUAAACAUAAUUUAUUAAUGUUUGUACUCUUAUUUGUGUGAUUUACAGUGUGCUCCGCCACUGCUAUUCAGAGCUGUCAGCAGAGCCCCAUUGAAGCCCGCAGCCCCAUGGAAGUCCAAUCGAAUCGUCUCUUUUCCAUCCCUGACUGGGUGGUUCUGGAUCAUCAAAUCUUCCUCAAGGACCUCGACUCCUUUCGCAACAACGCGGUGACAUCUACAGAAGUAUGCGCUAGCAAUAGCGAACUGGUUCGCGUCUCCUUCAUUCUUAGCGCGCUGCCGGGUACAUCCCGUCUAUGCGUGCACCUCAAGGAGGGGCACGAGCUGUCCUGCUUGGACACUGUGGUGGCGGCCCACGGCAAGGCCGUCCUCUUCCGACUGAAGGUCGACUUUGAGGGGCUGACGGGCAAGGCGAUUGACUACUUCAUCUACUGGGCCUACACCUCUGGCCCCAAGCUCUCACUGGUCCCGCGCUACUACUCGACAGUAAAGGAGAUUGCAGCAGCAGAGGAGGGAUCCUGGAGGAGAAGGCUACG